rnacentral:lncRNA from 1 species
GCGUUGUGUCGUUUGGAGUGGAGAAACUCUGGGAUCUCCUGAGUCGAGAAUCAGAGAGACUGCAGGGAGUUCAUGAGAAAGUUGAUGAUCUAAAAUGUCAGAUGAGAAUGUUACAGUCGUUGUUGAAAGAUGCAGAUGCCAAGAAAUAUGAGAGUGUGGUGAGAAACUUCUUGGAAGAUGUCAAAGACAUUGUUUUUGAUGCUGAAGACAUAAUCGAAUCCUUUCUUUUGAAAGAAUUGAGUAGAAACCAAAAAGGGAUCAAGGGGCGUGUGAAAAGACUUGCUUGUUUCUUAGUGGAUCGCCGAGGUCUUUCUAUGGACAUUGAAGGCAUAACUAAGAGAAUGGCCAAGGUUGUUGGGCAAAUGCAGAGCUUUGGAAUACAACAGAUCAUCUACAGAUCACCGUCUCUACAAGAGAGACAAAGACCAAGGGAGAACCGACAAACAUAUCCAAAGACAUCUCAAAAGGAUCUUGUGGGGGUGGAACAGAGUGUUAACGAAUUGGUUAGUCAUUUGGUGGAGAAUGAUAGCAUCCAAGUAGUUUCCAUAUCGGGGAUGGGUGGUAUUGGGAAAACCACUCUUGCCAGACAAGUUUUUCAUCAUGACAUUGUUCGAAGUCAUUUUGAUGGAUUCUCAUGGAUCUGCGUUUCGCAAGAUUGUAAGCGGAUGGAAAUUUGGCAAAAGUUAUUGCAAGACCUUAGACCACAUGAUAAGAGCAUCGAACAUAUGAAUGAAGAAACACUCCAGGCUGAGCUCUUUCACUUGUUGGAAACAUCUAAAUAUUUAAUUGUCAUGGAUGAUGUGUAGAAUUGUGUCAUCAAUCUUCUAAGCCUCUGAGUCCAACAGAAGGUUUGAAUAUGCUGAGUGAAGGAAAGACUCUUGGUCCAGUAGAAGGUUUGCCAAAGCUAAUAACAUACAUGUGAGAAGCACGUGAGUUGGGGCAAUAGGAAUCAUCAUCUUCUGGGUAUAUCAUCGUCAUCUUCUCCGACGGAGAGUUAGUUACAGAAACAGAGCGAGAGCUCAAGAUGAGAGAGUGAGAGCGAUUGGGUUGGUGAGAGUGAGCUAGAGAGAGAUGUGAUUCUUGGUAUAUCUAGACUCAUAGACUUGUUCUUCUUCCUCAGUCUUGUAACUCAGAUUAGGUGUAAUCGAGAGAGGAAGAAGACGAGUGAACCUCCGGUGACGUACUCUGUAAUCACAUUGAUUAUAGUGGAUUGGCUGAGAGACCGUUUCUCUCCCCGGUGAUGUAUAGCGGCUUCUCCACAUCGGAGAAGUGCGGUGAACACCGGGUAAACAAAGUCUCGUGUGUUAUUUCUUUAUGCUUGAUUCAUGAUUGAUUAGAUUCGUUUAGGCUUGUGAUGAGUAUUGAUUAAAGCCAAGAUCACAUGAUGAAUCCUCAACAAAUGGUAUCAGAGCCUCGGUUUAGGCGAUUCAAGGAUUCAUCGGAAACAGAUCAAGAUCGGUUCUGAAGUAGAAUCGAAUAAGGAUCGGAGGAAGUUUCGAUCGCAUCGUUGUUGCGAGAGUGAAGAAUCAGUAGAUGUUGCAAGAGAUGAAAUGUCAAGAGCAAAGAAAGAAGAUGAAGACGUUGGCUCGUGGUAGACGACAACGUCGGAGACGGAGGAAAGGAAUCUCACGGAGGAAGACGCAACCGGUUCAGCUAGUUUAUGGUUUGUGGAAUCAGAUGGUUUUGUAAGUUAAUCUCUCUCAUCUCUAGAGUUAUAAGCUGGUGUGAGUUGCUCUGGAUCAAAGAGACUUGCAAGAUAUGGUGUGGCGUUCACAAGAGAACGAAGAACCAUAGACUGAAGUGUAAAGAAUCAGAUAUGUGAUGUUGUUUUGCAGUUCUGGAAUUGGUUUGAUGCUGGCUGUUUGAGGUGGAGGAUCUCAGGUUAAAAUGUUAAGUCAAGAUCAGACUUAUGGCUACAUAAUCAAAGUCAGUUCAUAGUUUCCUCAGGUUCAAUUCUUGGAGACAAAUGGUCUCAGUCUGCAACAGUCACAAAGUUUUGUUGUGGUGGCUGGAUACUCAUCUACUGCAGUGUAUAAAGAAUGGAAGCUCUCUAAAUCACAAGGGCGGUAUGUUAUCUUUGCAAAGAGUGAUCAAGGCUCAGGUUUGGUGUCAAACUGUUUGUUGGUCAGCUUGUUUGUGGAAGGAAGAUGCAGCUGUGGUUUCAGGAUGUUUGGAAGAAUGGCAGUUGGUGGCAUCUAUGAAUCUCAGGUUUAAGGGACGCUUUAGAAGUGAGUUUGUAUGUGUGUCAAAGGCUGUUCAGAUACUGUUAAAGCUUUCAAGAUUCAAGUUUGAAGUUAAGUUGCAGAGAAGAAUGGUUUCUACAGGUUUUGGAACAAGACAGAUAUGUUAUUUUGAGGAGCUGGUUCAGAUUUCAGAAAGUUUGAGUUGCAGGUUCAGUCACAGAGAUUAAGGGUCAGGUUCUGGUGAAUGUAAGAAGCUCAGGUGGUAAUGAUCAAGGUCAGGAAAAUGAUCAUAAUGGAGCUUGUAGCAGCAAGGAUUGUUUCUACACAAAAGUAUCAAGGCUGUUACAUUUAAUGAAUUUCUUCAGUGCCAGUAAAGUGAUAAAACAGAUGGGAUUCUGUGGUAUAUCACCUGACGUUUUUUCACAUAAACAAACGUCACGGCUUAUUAGAAGAAUGCCUGGAGUCAUCAAGAAAGAAGCAGAAGAAGCAGGAACAUGUUAUGUUUCCAGAAGAAUGCGCCAAGAGAAAAGACAAGAAGUCUAAGAGCAAUGUGAGUAUAUGUUGGAAUAGAGUUUCUUGUGGGAUCAAAGUUGAUAACUUUGGAGGAGUAUGAGUGGAAGAGGCAGCUCGUGGUAGAGGUUUAACUGUCUCACUCAAGGCGUUUCUGCAGAGGGUUAAAAGCGAUGAUUUCUUAAAGAGAAAGAAGGCUGAUAGAAUAUCAGUGAUAAGGAGCCAAGGAGAAGAAACAAGUUUCUGGUUUUAUGGCUCAAGGAAAGGAAAGCAAGGAGUUUGUUUUGCUGGUUGUAGUUCUUUUGAACAUGGAGUUUACAAGUUCAAGUCUUUGCAGGAUGUCUCGGGUCAUUGGUGCUUGUGUUCUGUAUUUUAAAGACACACAAGAAGUUUCAGGAGAUGGAGAAAUCUGAGAGAAACUUCAAAGAAUGAUUGUGAGGACAUGUUAGGAUGAAGGGACAGCAGGAUGAAAGCACAGCAGGCGGCAGUCACUCAAGGUUGUAGCUUUCAGAGGCUAUGAAAAGAAGCUCUAUGCCAAGAUAUAAAGGCAAGAAGCAUGGUGUUACUGAUAGUAAAAUCAGUGGAGUAAAAUCAGUUUGAGAGAAUCUGGUUUCGGGUUUAUCUGUCACAGGUUCUGAUGGGUUAAAUUCAGAAGGGUCUCACAGGGUUUAAAGUGUUAUGUGAAGAUGUUUUGUUGGCAGAGACUAUAACAGGUUGGAGCACAGUCAGUUUGGUGGGAUUAAAAUCAGAUUGGAAAGCUCGGAAGAAGCUGCGACACUUGGUGGUUAUGGUAUUAGCGACUAUAGUUGAAUGGCUGCAAAAUUAAUAUAAUUUUGAUAAGAUCUGAAAUAAAAUUCAGAAGCAAGAAGCCAUGUUUACAGUCAGCUACACAAAGGGGUUAAGUGAAUCAAAGAAGAAAGUGCAGGAUGGUUAUAAGUCUGAGAAGUGAAGCUUCAUGUGAAGAGGAACACGUUGGGGUUUUGAAAGGUUAUUGUUUCAGGUGGAGUCUUGCCUCUACAAGUUUUGUAGUGCACAUCUCUAGAUGUUUUUUGACUCCAGGUGGAGCAGUGUUAUGUUUCAGACAGUGUUCUCAGGUCAACUUCAGUAUGAAAAGGUUUCAGAGGUUCUGCGGAUGAGCUUACAAGAGCUACAGAGAUUCAGGUUGGUUUUGUGAAGCAAGAAGAGUAAAAGAGAGCCAAGCCAGUGUCAGCAGGUUCAAGCUCAACAUGUUAUGGUCAGAUGGAGUAAAAGGGGUUCAGCUUGUGGUCAGAGUUGUGAAGAGGAUAUCGGCAGUGUUAGUAUGGUUUCUCCACAGGAAGCAUGGAGUAAAACGACAUCGAGGCAGAGUCACUGCAGGUAUGAUAAAUCAAUAUAUAUAAAAUACUUGUGAGGUGGUUUUUUGCAGGUAUUCACAGGGACCAGGGAGAACAGUUCAAGGUGGAGCUGUUUGAGUCAAUUACCAAGCUGAACAAAUUCAAAGAGUUCUCUAAGAGUAGCUACAAGGAGAUAAACAGCAAGGUUUGUUGGUACUGUCACAAAAGAGUACAAGAAGGAUUGAGCUACUGGAAAAUGGAGUUCUUGGUAACGUCUGGAACAGGCAGGGGCGUUUAUAUACCAAGGUCUGGUAAGGUUCGCAGGUUAGCGAAGCACAGGUUCUUUUCUACAGCAAAGGUGUCUCAGGAGUUGUCACAGGUUUUGUGAGUAUGAGGCAGGGAUAAAGAAGUCAGCAGUGGUCAGAUUGUUGUCUGAAGUUCUGUUGAGGCAGAUUUGUUUGAACUGGGUUUGAGCAGAGAUCUCUACAUCGAAAGUCUUCUUAACCAGGUUGAGUUAGGCGGCGUGUUCUGCUGGUCACAGCAGCGGUGAAGAGUGAUGUUCAGGUUGAAAGUUCAUACAGAUUGGUGUAGAGGAAAACUUCAGGAUUAGCAGAGAGUUUUUCUACUAGCUGUUGAGGUUGUCUACAAGGGUUUUUUGAGUCAAAGCGCUUCUGGUGUGAGGCAGAAAUGAUUCAAGUUCCGCAGGAGUUUUCAAGCAAGCAUCGUUUCAGGUUUUGGCAGACUAUUGGGAGACCUUAAUUGCAGUAACAAGUCAAGCAUUAUAGGCUGAUCUAUACUAGUCAAAGGAGAAGCUUAUGGAGUGUAUGUUGAGUUACUGGUGAGUGGUUUUCUCAAGUUUCCAGGUUAUGGAAAGUCCAAAGGAAGAUCAAUGGAGAAGUUUGGCGUGACACAAGUUUGUGGAGUGCUGGGAAAAGAAACUUAAGAAGGCAUGUGUGUGUUGUUGGCACAGGAAUGGGAUUGUGAUUCACAUCACAACAAGUUACAUGUCUGUUCAUUGAUGAUGAUUAAGUGGUUGAAGACUGGGAGUUGUCAAGGUUAGAGCUGGGUUUACAAGGUUCUAAGGAACAGUGGCAAGGAAGUUUUCAGGUUAUAUCAAGACAAGAUGCUGGGAGGAAACAAGUUUCAGGAAACGUUGAAGCUGAGCGGUGAAGCUCAAAGAGACUGCAAGGAGAUGCAGGAAGAUAAAGCAGAUGCGCAUGUUUGCUCAGUCACCGGAGGAAAGCUCAUGAGAAGAUUGGGCUGUAGAAGAUCAAUGCCAAGGUGGAGAUUGUAGAAUUGUGUCAUCAAUCUUCUAAGCCUCUGAGUCCAACAGAAGGUUUGAAUAUGCUGAGUGAAGGAAAGACUCUUGGUCCAGUAGAAGGUUUGCCAAAGCUAAUAACAUACAUGUGAGAAGCACGUGAGUUGGGGCAAUAGGAAUCAUCAUCUUCUGGGUAUAUCAUCGUCAUCUUCUCCGACGGAGAGUUAGUUACAGAAACAGAACGAGAGCUCAAGAUGAGAGAGUGAGAGCGAUUGGGUUGGUGAGAGUGAGCUAGAGAGAGAUGUGAUUCUUGGUAUAUCUAGACUCAUAGACUUGUUCUUCUUCCUCAGUCUUGUAACUCAGAUUAGGUGUAAUCGAGAGAGGAAGAAGACGAGUGAACCUCCGGUGACGUACUCUGUAAUCACAUUGAUUAUAGUGGAUUGGCUGAGAGACCGUUUCUCUCCCCGGUGAUGUAUAGCGGCUUCUCCACAUCGGAGAAGUGCGGUGAACACCGGGUAAACAAAGUCUCGUGUGUUAUUUCUUUAUGCUUGAUUCAUGAUUGAUUAGAUUCGUUUAGGCUUGUGAUGAGUAUUGAUUAAAGCCAAGAUCACAUGAUGAAUCCUCAACAUGAUGUAUGGAAAAAAGAAGACUGGGAUGUAAUAAAAGACGUUUCCCCCAAGAAAGAGGUGAGCUCUCUAAUUGUACAAACAUUACUCCCCAUAGUCACAUUUCAUAAAUGCCUUUUGAGUACCUGAGAUGAAACGAAGUACAAUUGCAGGUUGGAAGAUGAUUCUUACUUCACGCGAUGAACGUGUUGGUUACCAUGCAGACCCAACAUGUUUUCCCUUUAGAGCAAAAACUCUUACUCAUGAAGAAAGUUGGAAGCUAUGUGAGAGCAUAGCAUUCCCUAGAAGAGAGAUAACAGGUACGUUUUUAAUACAAGAAUCAUAUGAAUCAUUAAGGCCAAAAAGCAUGAUAUCUCUUACAUGCCUUCUUAUAAAAAAACUUGUGUAGUAAUUCCCAAAUUAUCCUCUCUGGAAUGACAUACACUAAAAACUCUAUAAAUUAAUAAUACUAAAACUAUGAAAUUUUAUUAAUUUAUAGAGUUACUAAUUUUUUCAAAGUUUCAGUUUUAGAUUUUUUUUACACUAUUUUUAUUAUAAAAACUAGGUAAGGAACCCGUGCGAUAUCGCACAUGAACUCAUUUUAUAAAAAACGUGUGUCGUAUUUUUAUAAUUGGUUUUGAAAAAAUGCAAAUAUUCAAAAUUAUCUUAUAUGCAGCUAUAUAUUGUUUAUAGAUUGAUUGUAAUAAAAUUACAAAAUAUGUCAAUACCUGUUAGUAAGGAUAUACACAUAAAAAAAUUUAUGCAUAAUUUAAAUUAUUAUCUUGAACUUAUUUUAAUAAAAUUACAAAUAUGUCACAUUGUGGAAUUUAUACUUUUGUAUAAAACAUCUUAUUGUGCUAUCAAAAAAAGUUCAUGUGACAUUAAUGUAAAACUAAAAUAAGGAGAAAAUACAUAUCUUUUGAUUUUCCAUAAAAUUAAAAAAAUAUAUAAUAUAAGUAAAUUGAGAAAUAGCCACAAACCAUAUCAAUAAAAGUAUUCAAAAUGAAAAGACACAUAGUUUCAUAUAUCAUAUAUUGUUUUACUGAAAAUAUUUGUCAAAUAACUAAUUAGUGACAAUAUUUUAUUUGUUUCAAUUAUUGUUACACCAACCAAAAUAGAACUAAUUAUAUAUUAAUUUACUUUUUAUAGUAAAUAUAAACUCUUGACUAACAAAACUUUCACUAAAAAUGACAGUAGGACAUUGUCUUCAGCCUCAUUGUCAAUUUUAUUUUCAUGUAUACUAUAUUUAAUAUCAAUUUUCUUUAAAAUAAAAUUAUCAUUUUAUGUAUUCAGAAUAACUAACAAGUUACAAUAGAUUUAACUAAUUCAGUUGGUUAUUUAAUAGAAUCUUUGAAAUAUAUUUGUUAACAUUAUAAAAGAUGAUGUAUAUGAACCAUCAUAGGGAAUCAACUUUACUCUAUAUAUAUAUAUAAUAACUUUAAUGUUCUGUUUAUAUUUUAUUAGAAUAAAUAUUGCUUACAACUGCACUUCCAUCUUCUUAAGUUUAUUCUUAUAGUUUUACAUGAUAUUUAGCUCCAACAACUUCUUGAACUACUUUCAAUUAUUUUCCGUGAUAUUUAAAUAAUUUUUUCUAUUUAAGAGACAAUAUUAGAAUUAUUAGUUUGUAGUAUAUUAAGAAAAUUUAUAUUUCUAUGUUGGUAAAAAUAGUUAUCAUUUUUAUAAAUUUAUUUACCUGCUCUAUUUUUGGCAAAAAUAUUAAGGAGAUUGAAUAUCAUAAUAAAUAUAUGUUGACUUAUGUUGAUAUGACAUUUCUCACUUAUAUUAUUUCCUUUAAUUUCCGGAAGAGUUCUUAUAAAACACCAUCACUUAUUAUAUUAAACUAACAUAAUAAUUAGAUAAAAUCAACUAAAUUGAUAAAUUAUGGAUUUAAAUCAUGAUGACUUUUGUUGUAUCAAUAAAUAAUAUUUUUGAAGUCAAGGUUGUAUUGAGAUAUAAAUACUGUAGAACUCUAUGGGUUUCUCAAUCAAAUUUCCAAGCUUAGACUAAGAUAUAAGAAUAACAAAUAGAGCUAUGCAUGUUCAUAUGUAUUUGUUCAAAAAUCUUUGAAAAUAAUUUAACAGUGAAUCUCUAUCUUUUCUAAUCUAUAGAUUGUUGUCAUUUUUUUGUGAUUUUUCAAUUCCCACAACAACUUAUAUAGAUGACUAAAGGUUACAAUGGUUGAUACCAAACAUUGCAAUGGUUAGAUAAUAGUUGCAAUAAUUAACAUCAGAAGUUACAAUGGAUUAUCACCAAAUACUACAAUCACUAACAGUUGCAAUGAUUUAUUACCAAAGAUUGCAUUGGUUCUUCACUAAAAUUAUUGCCACCAACAGUUGCAGCGAUAUCUUUAGACAUUUUGAUAACUUUUUUUAACAAAUAAAAAAAAUUAGGAUGAAAAACACAUCCUUAUACAUUUUAAGAACAUCUUUUAAACCAAUUUAAUUCCUAAAAUGAAAGUAACAUUUUUAAGAUGAAAGGAUCCAUACUUAUAUUUUUUUACAAUAUUUUUUGAAGAACGCAAUUUUUAAUAUGAAAAGACACAUUGUUAAGAUCAAAAAUUAUAACCAUUGAUAUUUAUUUGGAGAAAAUAUACAUUUUUACACAUUUUGAUAAUUUUUUUAACAAAUGAAAAUUUAGGAUGAAAAGACAUAUUUUAUACGUUUUAGGAACUUACUUUAAACCAAUGCAAUUCUUAAAGUGAAAUGACAUAUUAUUAAGAUGAAAAGUUACAUACUUAUAUAUGUGACAACAUUUUUUAAAGUAGUGUCAUUUUUAAGAUGAAAAGACACUUCGUUAGGAUGAAAAGUUACAACCUUUGACAUUUAUUUGGAGAAAAUAUACAUUUUUAGACGUUUUGACAACUUUUAUUAAGAAAUACAGUUUUUUUAGGAUUAAAAGAUACAUCUUUAUACAUUUUAACAAUUUCUUCAAAACCAAUUCGACAAUGAAAAGACACAUUGUUAAGAUGAUAAUAUUUUUACUUAUAUAUUUGACAACAUUUUUUAAAGCAAUGCCAUUUAAAUGAAAAAUAAUACUUUGUUAGGAUGAAAAAUUACAACAUUGAACAUUUAUUUUUUAACAAAUGCAAUUUGUAGGAUAAAAAGACACAUCCUUAUGCAUUUUAACAACUUCUUUUAAACCAAUGCAAUUCUUAAAAAUGAAAAGACAUACUUUUAAGAAGAAAAGAUACAUACUUGUAUUUUUUUUAGGACAUUUUUUAAUAAGAUAAAAAGACACUUUGAUAUAAUGAAAAGUUACAAUUUUUGACAUUUAUUUGGAUAAAAUACAUCUUUAGACAUUUUGACAACUUUUUUUAAUAAAUGCAAUUUGUAUGAAACUUAUACUUAUACACUUUGACAAUUUCUCUUAACCCAAUGCAAUUUUAAAAAUAAAAUAAAAUGUACUAAUAUAUUUUAACGACACUUUUAAAACAAUGCUCUUUUUAAGAUGAAAUGACACAUAAUUACAAAGAGACACUUUUUGAGAUAUUUUAAUAAUUUUUAAAAACAUUAUCUUAUAUAAUGAGAAGACACAAUUUUAAAACUAAUAUUUAUAGAAAAAACACUUAUUAGGAUAUUUUAACAAAUUUUAAACUAAUAAUUUUACUUAUAAUCUAAGAAAUUCAACCUAUAAUAGUUUUGAUCUUGAGACUUCUAGUUUACAGAUGCGUAAACCAGUAAAUAGCCAUUUAAAUUUAAUUGAAUGCAAGACAAGAUUGAUAAAAGUCAACUACUUAUGUUCGCUAAAUAUCUUGGAAAAAAGUUCUAAAUUUAAAUUGUUAUUUUCCUAUAUAUACGAAAGGAGAAUUGGGACGCAUAUAAUUAUAACAACUUUUUGGCUAUGAUAUUCUUUGUAUAAUAUGUAUAAAGACAAAAAAUGCCUUUCAUUCCACUGUUACAUUUCCACUCCCACUUACAUCGUUGAUCUUCAUUCUUUUUUUUUUUUCUAAAAUUUCUAUUGAUCCUUCUUCUCUUUCUUUUAUCCUAUGAUCAUUUACAAGUUUUAUCAAAUUCUUGAAAAGUGAUGCUUCGCACGCUGUGUAAUCAUUUGAUCCGAUAAUUGUGGCUGAUCACUUUUUUCAUAUCUUUAUUUGGAUUUACAAUUUUACUACUUUUCAAUAUAUGUGGAUUGAGAAACAGAGGAUGCGUAGACCUAUUAGAGAAGAUGAACAGUAUACGUUGCGUUGUACUAUUCCAUUUGAUAAACAUAAAAUAGUAAAAUGCAACAAGCAUUGUUAAAUCAUCUCCACGUUUUGUCCUUUCUUCCUCCUCCUCAUCCUCUUUCUUUUUCUUCUCAUCCUCCUCUUCUUCCAUCACCAUCAGUUACUACAAAAGAUUCCACAUGUAGCAUCACCACGUUCAGCUGUUUCAUCACCACCACUACAAUUGCCAUACUAUUCUAAAUGAAAUAUAGUAUAUUUUAGACCUUCAAGAUUAGGGUUUAGGUAGCUCCUUUAUGGGCGAUGGUUUGGUUUUACAAUUUGGGUUUAGGGUUUGGGUUAAGGGUUUACGGUUUGGGUUUAGGGUUUAGAGUUUGGGUUUAGGGGGGUUUUGGGUAUACGGUUUGGGUUUAGGGUUUAGACCUUCAAGGUUAGAGUUUAGGUAGCUCCGUUAUGGGCGAUGAUUUGGUUUUACAAUUUGAGUUUAGGGUUUGGGUUAAGGGUUUACGGUUUGGGUUUAGGGUUUAAAGUUUGGGUUUAGGGGGGGUUUUGGGUUUAGGGUAUACGGUUUGGGUUUAGGGUUUAGACCUUCAAGGUUAGAGUUUAGGUAGCUCCGUUAUGGGCGAUGAUUUGGUUUUACAAUUUGAGUUUAGGGUUUGGGUUAAGGGUUUACGGUUUGGGUUUACAGUUUGGGUUUAGGGGGAUUUAGGAUUUUGGUAGCUCCGUUUGGAUCUAUGGUUUGGGAUAAGAAUUUGUGUUUAGGGUUUGUAUUUAUGGUUUAGAGUUUUGGUUUAGAGUUUGGGUCAACAAUUGGUAACCAACAUCAAUUGCCAUACUAUUCUAAAUAAAAUAUAGUAUAGUUAGAGUGAAAUUAUUCGUGUGACUAUAAUAAAUAGUGUGUAGUAUAGUAUGAUAAUUUUAUUUUCUAUUGCCAUUUCAACAUCAAGCGCACGCGUCUAGAGGGAGAUUUUGGUCAUGUUUUGCGCAAAUUGUCCUAUCCAUCUUGAAUUACUGUAGAAUGACUAUAUUCUUCAUUCUUUUGCCUCUUAUGAAUAUUCAGCAAAUUUUUCCAUUACAAAACGACACAAGUGAUAAAAGAUGCUACUUUUGAUAAAUAAAUGGUCAUUAACAAAACAUAGAUGCAAAUAACUUAAAAUAAAUAAAAAAAUUGUCAGAUUUGUUUGUUGUCAAAGAAAUCGUAAGAUGUGUUUUGCCUUUAGUUUUCGUUAAGAAUUGAAUAUAUUUAAAACUCUAGACUUCUACAUCAUAUUUGUUUGUCUCUAACCAGCAAUUGAUAUGUUUCCGAGAAAUAAUAUAUAAAUAAAAAGAUCUUUUAAUGAGUUUUAUAAUCUCAGUAGUUCGCACAUCUCCAAACCAGGCAGUAGAAAACAAUGUAAAUUUACAAUUCUUGAGUGAACAAUUAUAUUAUUUUGUGAACAAUUAUAUUGACAUGGGGAUUCCUAAGUUUAAAAUGUGACACCUAUGCAGAUUUAAAUAUUCCAGUGGAAUUAAACCAUUCCCAUUAAAAAGAAAUUGAUGAUAAUUCCCAUGAGAAUAACACUCUCCAAUUAAGAGACACAUUGUUUGAUUAACUCAUGACGGUCAUCACCAACCGGUUUUCCUCUAAUGGAUUUAAUGAAUGACAGACAACCCCCUUUUUUGUACAUUGUAAUUUGGAAAGCAUUAAUUUUAGACUCUGACAAAACGCAAGAACAACAACACAUAUAAAUUAGAUAUGUUGUAACAACUAUUUAAAAAAUUGAAUGAUGGAAAUCCCAAAUUUGUUUAAAGAAAAUGACGUUGAUAGUGGUUUUUGAAAAAAAAAAAAAGGGAUUAUGAUGAACAAUAACAAUGAAAACUCAUUGUAAACACGCUUUAGAGAGCCAAACAAAUAAAUCAAUUCUGAGAUUUUGGGUGGAAAGGUAAUUUAAGAGGAGAUGGAAAACGAUAACAGGAAUGAGUCUUUAAAAACACACAUAUAUAUAUAGAUUGAUAAGGGAUGCUUCAUCUAAGAGUUGUAUUGUUUUGAGAUGGAGACUAUUCAGUGAAAAGAUGCAACGCACCGCAGUUUUAUUUUUUAUAUCAUUAAAUUCAAUCAAAUAUGACUGUUGGACUUAAAACAUUUUUCUUUUAAAAAGUUAUGAUAUCACCAGUUUUGGUAUGCUAUUAUAUAUAUAAUUUUUUUUAUAAUAAAAAGAUACAAUUUUAAAAAUUAAUAAUAUUCAGUUUGUUAUGAAAAUAUAUAAUUUUUAUAAUGAACAGACACAAUUUUCAAACUAAUACAUUUCAGUUUUUUAUGAAACAACACAACCAAAGUAGUUAUUUUGAAAAGACACAACUAUUUAGACUUUUAGAAAAUACACAACUUUUCAACAUAAUUGAGAUUCAUAACCUUUGGAAUUAUACAGGAUUGCUAUUAUUAGUAGAUAAAAUAUUUGAUUUUAUCAUAUAUAUAUAUAUUAAUUAACUUUUAGAAAUCCGACAUUUAUAUUGUUUUUGUUACACUAUUUGGUGUAUACAAAAUAUGUUUUAUAGAAUUUAAAAUGUAUUUUUAUAUAUAAUUUUACGAAAUAUUAACAAAAUAUAUUGAAAUGUUAAGAAAAAAUAGAAAUGAACUUCAUUGUGAAUAUAAAACAAAUAAUACAAUGUUUAAUGUUUGUACUUUAGUGUGUUUAUUAAUUAUAGAAUUUUUACUGCAUAUUGUUAUAAAUAUAUAUAUAUAUAUAUAUAUAUAUAUUUUAAAAACAUUUGAAAAGACUAAACACACUAUUAUUUCAAGACUCUGAUCUUAUAACGUGUGUUACUAUUUUCAGAAUUUGAUGUUGAUGAGGAACUAGAAGCCAUGGGUAAGGAAAUGGUCGCAUAUUGUGGAGGACUACCAUUAGCCAUUAAAGUGUUGGGAGGCUUGUUAGCUAAUAAAACCAUGGUUGAAGAGUGGAAAAGAGUAGAUGACAAUAUUCAAAGUCAGAUAGUUCGCAUAGAUGACAAAAGUCAAGAUUCUGUGUACCGAGUAUUGUCUAUGAGCUAUGAAGAUUUGCCAAUGCAGUUAAAGCAUUGCUUCCUCUACCUAGCUCAUUUUCCCGAAGAUUACGAGAUACAAGUGGAGAGAUUGUAUUAUUACUGGGAAGCAGAAGGAAUAAUAACGUCAAGUGGCGAUGGAGAAACCACUAGGAAAAUUGGAGAAGACUACAUAGAGGAGCUAGUAAGGAGAAAUAUGGUUAUUGGAGUAAAAGAGGAUUUGAGUUGCAGAUGGGAGUAUUGUCAAAUGCAUGACAUGAUGAGAGAAGUAUGUUUAAAUAAAGCCAAAGAAGAGAACUUUCUUCAGUUUAUCAAAGUCCCUACUUCUUCCACCUUUACCAUCAAUGCUCAUACUCCUACCAGAUCUCGCAGACUCGUAGUACACGGUGGUGGUAAUGCAUUUGAUAUGCUGGAACGUAAAAACAAUCAAAAAGCUAGAUCUGUUUUGGGGUUUGGACUCGACAGCAACUUUUGGAAGCAGUCAGGUCAAGGAUUCCAAAAUUUACUGUUACUUAGGGUCUUAGAUUUGAGUUUAGAUUAUAAAAGCGACUAUAGAAGAGGGAGAAUACCAUCAAGCAUUGGAAAGCUCAUUCAUUUGAGAUAUUUGAGCUUACACAUGGGUAGUGCAACUCAUGUACCUUCUUCUUUACGAAAUCUAAAGCUUCUAAUCUAUUUGAGUAUUUCCUCCUGGGGACUGGAAAGAGUUCAUCUGCCAAGUAUCUUUAAAGAGAUGGUAGAGUUGAGGUUCCUGCUGCUUCCCCCUUUUAUUGACGAUAAAACAAAGUUGGAAUUGGGUAAUCUAGUGAACCUGGAGUACUUGAUCUGCUUCCGAUCAGAAAACGGUAGCAUCACAGACUUCCUCCGAAUGAAAAAGCUCAGGACUCUCGAGAUAUUUCUCAAAGGCAGGUAUACUUCUGAAACUCUAGCGUCAUCUCUCUGUGAAUUAAGAAACCUGGAGGUGCUUAGGUUGAUCGAUGAGAACCGAUCCGGUGGGGCUUAUGAUGUGGAUUUCGUUUGGAAUUUCAUUCAUCUAAGGCAUUUAGAUCUGGACAUACAUAUGACAAGGCUUCCUGAUCACUCUCGAUUUCCUCCCCACCUUGCAUACAUAUCUCUACGUCACUGUGAAUUGGAGGAGGAUCCAUUGCAGAUUCUGGAAAAGUUGCUUCAUUUAAAGUCGGUUGUAUUAUGUCGAAGGGCUUUCGUGGGGAGGAAGAUGGUGUGUUCAAAUGGUGGAUUCCCUCAAUUAUGUAAUCUAGAAAUACGGUACCUAGACGACUUGGAAGAGUGGAUAGUGGAAGAAGGGUCGAUGCCAUGUCUUCGUACCUUGUCUAUAUACUAUUGUAAAAAGUUGAAGGAGCUACCGGAAGGGCUCAAGUAUAUCACUUCUUUAAAGGAACUGAUAAUCACCGAUAAGAACAAGGAGUGGAAGACGAAACUCGUACCAGGUGGGGAAAGUUACCACAAAGUCCAACACAUUCCCAGUGUUCAAUUAGACUAUCGUGGCGACGAAUAAGGAGAAUACAACCGUCUCAGGUAUAUAUACUUUUGUUUGGUAUAAUGUCAAUAUUGUUCUCCUUGAAGUUUAGUGUGGAAGUCUCAACUAUCUAACCUUUUUAUUAUUCGGUUUUCAGGUGAACCUACUCAGAAUCAGUACCCACUUAUUGAUUCUGUGAUGUGAUAUAUGUCGUUUUUGUUGUAUUGGUGUUUUAAAGUUUAUAUAUCUUGUUUGUGAUAUAUUUCGUUUUUCUGUUUGCAUGCUCAUUCACUGUAAUGCUACGUUUGAAAGACAUUUGUAUGUUGAACCGUAUCUUCUCUUCAAUGUCUCCGUUUUGUGUGCUUAGUUGACUUGUAUGGUCGGACUUGGAGAUAGAGGUCCUUUGAUAGUGAUCGCUGAACAUCAUUCUUAACAUCACUUUAUCAUUUGGUUCAACGAAGGUCGAGAUUGAGGAGUCGAGAGCUUUUACACGAAACGUCUAGUUAAUCCCUUUUUAGAGCAUCUCAAACCCACCCCUAUAUUUGCUUCUAUAUGCUAUAAUAGAGGAAAAUCUACUCCACCCCAUCUCUAUUUCUUCUUCUAAAAUAGAGAUUGCUAUUUUCUCCUAUAUUUAGAGGAAAAACUAGCAUUUCUCUAUAAUAGAGACAUACUUUUUUAUUUACACAAGAAUCCUUUAACUUUUUGUGAUUAUAAUUAAAAUACAUAUUUAUGUAGAAAUACAUGAUUUUUACAUAUAAAGCCUAAUUAUCUUUUGUUUACAUAAUAUUUUUUACAGUUAUAAGUAAAUAAAAUAAAUAAAUAAUAAUAUUAUUUUAUGUGAAAGUCUAAUUUUUAACAAAUAAUACUUAAUUUUAUAUUUAAUACUAAAAUUAUUAAUUAUAGUUUAAUUUCUAAAAAAUCUACAUAAACUUUACAUAUUGAUAACAUAUUUAUUUAAAUAUUAAUUAAUACAACAUAUUAAAACGCCUUAAUAUUAUGGUAAAUUACUUCCAGAUCUCCAUAAUGAUGGUUAGAUAAUGUAUACUUUGUUUUACUAUUUUUUUGUUUAAUGUUUUUUGUAACAAACUGUUUAAAUUAAAUAAUAUUGCAUUUUUAUGAAAAAAAAUCUAAAUGAUAUAAUGAAUGGGUUAAUUUUCAAUAUUUAUAAGUUAAAAGGUGUUAAUUGUAAAAUUUUAAAAGAAUCUCUUAAGAAUAUUUCUUUUUAAAAGAUAAAAUAGAAGAAUACAUUGGAAAGAAAUCCACAUCUAUUAUAGAGUUACUCUAUUAUAAAGGAAAAAAAUAGAAAAAUACAUUGGAGAUGGUCUUACAGAUAUACAACCUUAGGAGUUUAUUGAAACCAAAGCAAACUCAGCACAAUGGGACUCCUUACAGUUGAUACUACAAAGAGAUUAUUGAAUCAAAUGAAAUGAAUGAAUGAAUUUAGGAAAGUUUGUUACAAGAAGUAUAUAUAUACACGGUUAAGUUAUAGGAAACUUAAACCAUGUUGGUUAUCUAGUAAACCGAUAUAGUAUAUUGAUGGUUUAUGAUGAACUCGGUCUGGAUCAUAAUAUCAGAUCACGAGUCUCUACCAAACAAAGAGUCCUUUCGAUCUCUGCAUGUUUGUAUUGACUUUAAGGGGGUGUUAAUGGGACUCGAAGCGAAUCCAAAACGGGUGAUCCGUGCGUUUCAGACAUCAAUCGCCAAACCUCACUUUUCCAGACCGAACCGAACCGAAUCGACCCUGAGUUUUCCAAAUUUUAAGUAACUGCAUAAACCGGUUAAUUCUCAUCGACUCCUGUAAUUCGUCUUUCACUACCAAACCGGACAUAUUGAUGGUUUAAUGAGCUCGGUCAUGAGUCUUUCUGCCAAACAAAGAGUCCUUUCGAUCUCUGCAAAAUUUGUUUUUGACUUAGGGGAAGUCUACUAGUUGAAGCGAAGAAUCCAAAACGCGGUGAUCCGUGCGUUUUCAGACAUCAAUCGCCAAACGUAUGCAUAACUGGGUUAGAGCUUCCUCUUCCGAUUUCACCGGAACUCCUUUUUUUUUUUUUUUUUUUUAAAUAUAUAUAUUAGAUUAAAAUAUCAACCCGAAAAACGGGAACCGGAACAAGACCUCCGGCUAGUCGUCGAAUAAACAGUAAAUCUCACAAAUAGAUUAGGCUUAUCACUAUUACACAAGGAGAGAACAGCAUAAAAACAGCGGGAGGGAAAAAACCUAAGGUUCGGGGAUCCGUUACCGGUUCCCGUCAUCACCAGAAGUCCGCGGCCAACGACGCCGACCAAAUCGAAAUUUAGACGACCACUGCAAAGAUACUUUCUCUCAAACCAGCGCCGACACACAGCUGCUCGAUCCACACGACACUCUCUUUCUCUUACCGACUAUCAAAAAAUGGAAAUCGAAACAGACCAACUAGUUAAGGGGAACCGCCAUCCUCAACAAGUCCGUCUCUCUUGGCAGACCCUGACCAGUACGGAGAUACGGAGAGGUCGUAUUCGACACACUAACCCGAGACUUGAACUUGAUUUAUAGAUAGGGGGAGUGAAGAGAUAACCUGAAGGCUUUCUAGAACCGAAACAGAGACGCUUCGGCCAAAAGAAGCCGUAAAACGGGCUGAGAUGUGGCUGGCUAAAAACACGCUGAGACGAGCACCUGCAAGCCAUUGAUGGACUCCAACUUGCCGAGAAGAUCAAAGACCCACAAGGCACUGGGAUAGCCGGAGACCAAACGUGCCGUCACGGAGAGGAAAAUGAACCUGCAGAGACCACCUGAAGGUCCAACCAUCUCACACGCAUCACCUCUAAAAACUAGAGGAUGAAUCAAAAGGCUAGGCUGAAGCAACAACCGGUGACAGGACGGAGUUGCAGAUACAAAGAAGAACCGGCUCGAGAAACCCAAAACAGAAGGUGCACAGUUCCGAGAAGGGCUCUCUGCUGUUUAAACCGAAGGCUGGAGGAGACAAAGACCGAGGAACACCACCGGAUCUCCGACGCCUGAGCAUAGACAACUCCACGCGUCAAGAGAGCCAAAGGUCUUCACGCGCCAUCGAGGAAACUUGCAUCUGACACCGCCAGAGAAGAGACCACCGCUGCACGUCUAGAAGUCGAGGACCUCCGAGGCACAUCUUGAAAGGGGUUGAGACCGAGUCCAAAGCCGAGACACCAAGGCGACAAACUAACGGAGACAACCGCCUCUCCACACCGACGAAAGGACAGAUCCGAGUCGAGUGAGACUCUUCCAAAGCCCACGCGCCACCAACUCGCGGAAGUAACCGAUGAAGCAAGACAGAUCUGGGAAAAACGCUCAUCGGUACUCACCACCCAAAAUCCGACUCUCCCCUUACCAAAACGCCUUGCUGCCUCAUCUUGACACCGGGGAAGGCCACCAUAGACUAGAUCUGUCACCGAGCUCCAGAUCCAGAGAGCCAGCUUCCGGCAGAGCUCCCUAGGGCUUCGACAUAUCAGCUGCAGGACGUAGAGCGAGGGGAAAGCAAAGAAGAAAAGAGGAAGGGUUAAGAGAGAGCCACCGGCGACGGCGCCGAGGCCACCGUGCCGGAGGGGAGGAGAUGAUUUUUUUUUUGUUUUGUGUCGAGAGAGAAAAAGUAGAGAGAGAGAGUUUUUUUGGAGGGUGAAGUUAGAAUAAGAGUUUUUUUCAUUCAAUUUCCGAGAGAGAAAAAGUAGAGAGAGGAUUUCACCGGAACUCCUCCACAGCCUAGGAGGUAAAUUAGUUACUUCUUCUCCAUUCAAUUUCCGAUUUUAAUUUCAGCUGAUGAUUUUUAUUCUUCAUCAGUGGACAUACAGCUGUCAAUGUCGGAAAAUCCAUGGUCGUGGUGUUCGGCGGCCUCGUCGACAAGAAGUUCCUCAACGACAUCAUUGUCUAUGACAUUGGUAAUAUCAUACUUUAGCCUUAGGAUUAUUGUUUCCUUGCUUCAAGAAAGAUGCUUUCUUUCUUUCUCUAUGAGUUACUGUCUUGGCCUUGCUUUAAGUAUCAUUUGUUCAGCUUUUUUAAUCAUGUGAUAAUUGGUGGUCUUAUUAUGAUUGCUUUUCUUUAUCCUGUCGACUAGAGAACAAACUCUGGUUUGAGCCAGAAUGUACCGGCAGCGUUUCUGAAGGAAAAGUUGGUCCUACACCUCGCGCCUUUCAUGUUGCCAUCACUAUUGAUUGUCAUAUGUUCAUCUUUGGUGGACGCUCUGGUGGCAAGAGGUGCACACUACUAUAUAUUUUCUACCUAUAAGCGUUUAUACAUUCUGUUUUCACCGGAAUAGCUUAUUCCUAUAAAUAAAUCCUAUUUCAGGUUGGGUGACUUCUGGAUUCUAGAUACAGGUAAUUAAUUUAUAUCAGUGUCGCUGAGACCUGCCUGAGAACUUUUAAUACUCUGCUGCUAACAUUUUCUGCAGAUAUAUGGCAGUGGUCUGAGUUAACCAGCUUCGGCGACUUACCUACGCCUCGUGAUUUUUCUGCUGCCGCUGCUAUUGGGAACCAGAAAAUUGUGUUGUGAGUAUUCAGAAAUUUAGACGUUCCAUCAGCUUGUUUCAUGCAUUGGCUUAACCUAUGAUUAUUGGCAGGUGUGGCGGCUGGGAUGGUAAAAAAUGGCUGUCAGAUGUGUAUGUUAUGGACACAAGUAUAUCUCUCGUCUACUUCAGUUUUGUGAUAAAACUUGUUUUAAGUUUAUGAUAAUGUCAGCUUUUCUUGGUAUUUGCUAGUGUCUCUUGAAUGGAUGGAGCUGUCAGUUUCGGGGUCGUUGCCGCCUCCUAGAUGUGGUCAUACAGCCACCAUGGUUGAGAAGCGUUUACUUGUUUUUGGUGGCCGAGGUAAUACCAGAACUAAAAAAAACUGUAGAUUCUUGAUGUUGACUUAUCGCCAUUCCUUUAAUAAGUUAAGGUGUUUGCAUACUAAACCAAUCACCACAACUGAGGAGUGUUCUUGGCGGACUCGCAUUAUGGAUAAAAUUCAAAAUUGAAUGAUUUAUUUGCUAUUUUACUUUUUUUCAUUCAUCAAACAUGUUAAGGAUGCUGAUGUGUUUGGUUUACCCAUUGCUGUUAAUUAAUAACUUUCAUUUAUUAACGAAGUUUCCUGACCGGGUGUACUGAUGGUAUAUGUUCACAAGAAGUUUUGCUUGAGCUGAUAACAAGUAAACUGAGACUAUGGUGUGUGAUAUGGUUAUCUUUGACAGGAGGUGGUGGACCUAUCAUGGGUGAUCUGUGGGCUUUGAAGGGUCUAAUAGAUGAAGGUGCAUCCUUGAUUAAAUUACUUCAAAACUGCAUUGGAUCUUAUUCUGGGUUUACCUUUGUUGUGCAAGAAAGAGCGUGAAACACCUGGAUGGACACAACUCAAGCUUCCUGGCCAAGCACCAUCGUCUCGAUGUGGUCACACUGUCACAUCCGGAGGACAUUAUGUAUGUCUUUUUCAGCUCCUGUUUGUUCUUUUGUGUAAGGAUAGCUUCGCAUGACAUACAUCACUCACAUCAUUAAUUUUAAUGUAUGAAGCUUCUGUUAUUUGGGGGACAUGGAACUGGUGGAUGGCUGAGUCGUUAUGAUGUCUAUUAUAAUGACACUAUAAUUUUGGAUAGAGGUAGGUUCUUGCUCACUCUUCUCAUAAGAUUCUUCUCCUCUGCUAAAGUAUCACUUAAAAAUCCAAAAAUCCACUUCAUUAAUUUACAAUAGUACAUUACUAGUGAGAUGAUAAAAUUGUGAUGUAAAUUAUCCUUUUUCUUGCUGAGCAUUGUCUUCUAUGCGUUGUUGCUAAAUUUCUAUUUUCACAUACUAGUAACUGCUCAGUGGAAGCGCUUACCGAUAAGCAAUGAUGAGCCUCCUCCACCUCGAGCUUACCAUACCAUGACUAGUAUUGGAGCUCGUCAUCUUUUAAUUGGUGGUUUUGAUGGAAAAUCAACCUUCGGUGAUCUUUGGUGGCUGGUUCCUGAAGGUAUCUUACUCUUAUUUGUAUUGAUGUUUUAGUCCAACUUAGCUAUCACUCUGUGUGCACUGUGCACACAUCAUCCGUUAUUAUCGCUAGACUUUCUAAAAAUGGUGUUGGCACAGAUCAUAGGAAAUUAGCGACACUUCAAGCUCUAGAUAGGGACCUGUUUAGCCAUCUUAAAAUGUUAUUAUUCGUUUUUAAAGGAAGAAAUGGAUUUGGAAUUCGAGAUAGGGAUCUAACUCAAAACUUCUACGCUUUCAUCUCAACCUCACGCUCACUAUAUCUGUUCUUUUUCUUUUCUCAGAUGAUCCGAUAGCCAAGAGGUCUUCUGUACCUCAACUUAGAAACCCUCCUGAGACUAAAGAGUCAGAGAGAGAUUUGGAUACGGUAACUGUGGUUCCUGCUCAUCAUCUUAUGUGUUUCUCGCCAAUGCAGUUAAAUUAGCUUUUCAACGUGUUUUAACACCAAGAGUUUGGUCACAGCAGGAAAGAGGACAAGAGGGAUUCACUAUCGUCGACUUGCAAAAGAAAAUGGGAAUCUCUGUUGCAUCAGGGUUACUACGCCGUCAUAUCCCCGAGGAGUCAGAAGAUCAAGAGUUCGUUGAGUUAGGAACCAGAUUGAUUGAGGGAGAUGUAAUUGAUAAUCGAACCUCCAUGAUUCAGGUUAAUUUUUCCUCUUGUCUUUUUCAGGAUGUGUGAUUGUGUUAUUCUUGUACUGAAAAUGCUUCUCAACGAAUAGAUGGCAGCUGAAGCACUUCGUCAACAUUGGAAAGAGUCCACUGCAGAGACUUUGCAAUUAAAAGAGCUUAGUGCCUUGCUUCGAGAUUAUCAGCGACUUGUUACCUGAAAAUACACGUGAGUUCUUACUCAUUCCAACUAUUUCAGACUCAGUUCUUGUUUUAGUUGUUUAUGUAGAUUAUCUUUUAUUUCACUAAAAAUGGUUGUUCUUUGAUUGCGCUUGGAAUGGCAUUAGAAUAACUUAGAUAAAUCUCCUGAGAGUUUAGGAGUGUUAUAUAGAGUUAAUAUGAAUAUCAUUUUUUGUGUCUUGAAUAGCCCUUGAGACUUUUUAAUCCAAGAAUUGCCAAAACUGAUUCAUUUCUUAAUGUUGUGAAGUCCUCACAUAAAAGUUGAUUGUAAAUGCAUCGCUUUGUACCCCUCUGAAAAGUAUUAAAUGUCAUGAAAUCUCACAUCUGCUUCUUCCUUUCCUUCACACAUGUUUGUUUUCAUUUGUUGUGGCGGGUUUCUAUCAGAGCUCAGGGCAGCUUAACAUCUGCUGAUUUUGGAAAGAAGACCUUUACGUUUUAUCAUAUCAAAACUUCUUCCGAGGUACUUCUGCAUACUUUCCUCAUGUUAUUAGCUUUAUUGAACAUUUGACACCAAUCAAUCAAACAUCAGGCUUUCCUCUGACAUGUCAAGUUUUCAUUUUGCUAUUCUCAGUUACGGAUGGAUGACAUCCCCAAGUUGCUGGAAGAAUACAAAACCCUUCUAAUCUGAUUGAGGAGCUCUACCAUAAAACUCACAAGGAGAUAUACUAAAACCCUUCUAAACUCAUCAAGUAGCUGCCAAGAAGAUCACCAAGAUUGCUAUCAGCAUUACCAUUCGCAAACAACAAAGCUAAAAAUUCUCAAAAGAAUCAUAUCUCUGAUAGACAACAAGAUAUGUACAACUUCUUCUUAGUCAAGGACAAAAACAUAUACCCAUAUGUAAGAUUUUCAUUAUUUCUACUUAAAUCCAUAUCUCAGCGUCUGCUCUUUGCUUUAAAGCCAAUGGGAAAGUAAGGAAAAAAGUAGGCAAACUUCACCUCUUAUACUUAGAAAUGGAUUACUACAACAACAACGGUACUCUUGAUAACUUAAACCAUAGAGUUUCUGUCUGCUUAGACCCGUAUUGUCUUUUUUCUCUAUCCCCUAAAACAACUCAAACUCAAGAUGAUCUCCCAUGGCUUUACAUUCAAGAUACCCAUUACUAUUCCCUUUAGGAGAGGUUGCUUCAGUUGCACCAUUGUCAUAUACAUCAGGCAGCUCAGGGGGAAUGGCGCAGCGGAUGAGAGCCCAGUUCAAUCCUUCAAAGAAAGGAUGCCUCUUGAUCUCAGCAGUUCCUUUCUCCCACCCGAGACGGCUCUCCGGAUCCUUCAUCACCAACCUCCUGAUCAAAUCCUUUGCCUGGAAGCUCACAAGAGGGCUAUCAGGAAACUUAAGGUUCUGAAACACAACGUUGGACAAUGUCUCCUCAUUGUCAUAACCUUUAAACGGUGUCUUCCCGUAUAAAAGCUCAUAGAGAAGGACCCCAAAAGUCCACCAGUCUACCGCAGCACCAUGCCCUUCUCCUUUUAUUAUCUCCGGCGCCAAGUACUCGUGCGUUCCUACAAAAGAGUUUGAUCCUGCUUCGGUUGGUUUAGCCACAAGCUGAGGCAAUGAUCUGAACUGUUGGGUCAGAAGAUCAGGCCUUCUCUGUUUUCUUGGUUUCGAGUUUCUAGCUUGCAUUGAUGGGAGCCUAGGGCUGAAACAUGGGAAGCAGGUUCUUCACAGGUUCUUCACCUUCUUUGGAAGUUGAGGAGCUUGAUACAAUAAGCGAAGACGAAGACAAACAGCAGUAUCCACGCGCAGCUACAGCUGGUAAGAAGUCAUGUUCGAACCCGGAUCCAUCUUUGAGCAACUUUUUUAGACCCGUGUCUAGGAGACCAGUGUUCUGCACUAUCGAAUCUUGGUCUCCUACUUGAGAUUUGAUGCUUCCAAACAAUGUCCAGCCCACUGGUCGUUGCCUAGUAAUAUCAUCUCCACCAUAUCACCAACAAUAAACAUUUUCGAAACUACCCUCCCUCUCCCCUCUCCCAAUAAAAAAAACACAAAACUUAAAAAUUAGGUAGCUCUAAAACCCUUCUGAUCAUAACAAAAAGUAAGAUCUAAACACACUUGAUGAUUACGUAAGUUGGUUCGUAAUUUUUUACCAAUCUUUGGUAUAAGGAACUGGAGAAAAGAUUCCAAAUAGACUGAGGAAGAAAGACAUGCAGAUUCCGGAGAUUUGAUAGUUUGGUGUCAAGGCCACAAAGCAUCAAGCUUUGUUAACAUGUAGUAGUAGUAGUACCAGAAGAACUUGACCACAGUACGGCCGUAUCCUAUCAUUGAGUAAAGGAUUAUAGUAUGUAAACUCUAGUUUGUAUGGUGUCAUACUAAUAACUUUGUCUAUAUUACCAAUUUUCCCAAUUUCUUAUUUCUAACAAACUAUAAUGUAUAAAUAUCAAUGAAUAUAUUUUGCAAGUUGAAAAUAAGGGAGAAAUUUUUUUUACCAAAAAGAAUAAUAAGGGAGAACUACAGUGAAUGUUUCGAGUGGGCCUAAAGCAAAUGCAUUAUUGCCUUGCGAAAAAAUCAUUAUCGCCACAGACUAGAAAAAACUCCUAUUUUCUUUUUAUUCAAAAUUAGAACCACAAGAUGGCAGUCGUAGACUGAUAAGAUUGACUUGGAGUCUACUCUUUCAUUGCCACUCAUAUCUUUUCUUCCAAAGAACGUCUCUAAGCAAGUUGAAGAGCUGUUACAUGAAAGGUAAAUCAUGUUCUUGUAUCAUUAUUUGUAUGUUUAACUUGCUUUGAUCUGUCUUUUGGACUCUGUUGUGGUUGAAUCUGAAUUUAAAAACGAAAAUUCGUUAGAUUAUUACAAAUCUUGUUUUACGAAUUUAAAGCAUUUAAUCAUCAAAUCUUGUUAUAAAUUGUUUGAAUAAAAGUAAAGUUCCUCUAACAGGUAUCAUGUUUUAUUAGAUCAACCAAGGAUUAUCAUAACGGUUUUAAAUCUUACUACAAGUUUGUACUUAUGUGUUGAUGAUGGUGGAACAGGAGAAUAGUGAUGGCUGAGGGCGUUGUGUCGUUUGGAGUGGAGAAACUCUGGGAUCUCCUGAGUCGAGAAUCUGAGCGAUUGCAGGGAGUUCAUGAGAAAGUUGAUGAUCUAAAAUGUCAGAUGAGAAUGUUACAGUCGUUGUUGAAAGAUGCAGAUGCGAGGAAACAUGAGAAUGAAGUAGUGAGAAACUUCUUGGAAGAUGUCAAAGACAUUGUUUUUGAUGCUGAAGACAUAAUCGAAUCCUUUCUUUUGAAAGAAUUGAGUGGAAACCAAAAAGGGAUCAAGAGGCGUGUGAAAAGACUUGCUUGUUUCUUAGUGGAUCGCCGAGGUCUUUCUAUGGACAUUGAAGGCAUAAUUAAGAGAAUGUCUAAGGUGGUUGCACAAAUGCAGAGCUUUGGUAUACAGCAUAGCGUCAACAGAUCACCGUCUGUACAAGAGAGGCAAAGGGAGAUCCGACAAACAUAUCCUAAGAGGUCUCAAAAGGAUCUCGUGGGGGUGGAACAGAGUGUUAAGGAACUAGUUGGUCAUUUGGUGGAGAAUGAUAGCAUCCAAGUAGUUUCCAUAUCUGGGAUGGGUGGUAUUGGAAAAACCACUCUUGCAAGACAAGUCUUUCAUCAUGACAUUGUUCGAAGUCAUUUUGAUGGAUACGCGUGGAUCUGCGUUUCGCAAGAUUUUAAGCGGAAGGAUAUUUGGCAAAAGUUAUUGCAAGACCUUAGACCACAUGAUAAGGGCAUCGAACAUAUGAAUGAGAAUACACUCCAGGCUGAGCUCUUUCACUUGUUGGAGACGUCUAAAUAUUUAAUUGUCAUGGAUGAUGUAUGGAAAAAAGAAGAUUGGGAUGCAAUAAAAGACGUUUUCCCCCAAGAAAGAAGAGGUGAGCUCUCUUAUUGUACAUACAUUACUUAAGAACUCCCCAUAACCACAUUUCAUAAAUGCCUUUUGAGUCCCUGAGAUGAAAGGAAAUACAAUUGCAGGUUGGAAGAUGAUUCUUACUUCACGCGAUGAAGGUGUUGGUUUGCAUGCAGACCCAACAUGUUUUCCUUUUAGACCAAAACCACUUACUCCCGAAGAAAGUUGGAAGCUAUGUGAGAGCAUAGCAUUCCCUAGAAAAGAGAUAACGGGUAAUGUUUUUAUAUAAGAAUCAUAUGAAUCCAGAAUCCUUAAGGCCAGUAAUUUCUUACGGCCGGGACAUCUUAUCAAAAAUCUUGUGUAUUAAUUCCUAAAUCCGCAUGACAUAUAUUAUUACAUAUACCUUUGAGAAACAAUAUACCAUCAAUACUAUUAAAACAGAAGACCUUUUUUUGAGGUGCUCUUCUGUUUCAACAAUAUUUUCAGAUCUUUGCCACUGAAAUAUUUAAAACUUAUGAUUUUAAUUAAAUUCUGAAUUUUCUUUUAUUUAUACAACAGAAAAUCUAAUAAUGAAUCAACACGUUAUUAAAGUAAACCGACUUAUUUAAUAUUUUACCAAAAAAAAAAAGUAAACCGACUUACCCAACGAACGUAAACCAACCAACAUACUUAACAAUAAAAUAAAGUGUUAUGCUGGUUCAAUCCAUCGAAGUAUAAAUUAUAAACUACAUGAUUCUAUAUACUUAACACGUCUUUAACUUGAUAUCAAGUAUAUAAACAAACAAUUUACAGCAUUUCAAUUCCUAUAGGAUACCGGUUCAAAUGUUCUAUAGAAAACUAAAUCGACGUUGGUAUGAAUUAAAUCAUCCAAUAUAUCACACUUAAAGAAACGAAUAUAUAAACAAUAAAUAUUAAAUAUAUGAACAAAAUAGGUGUGGGAAUAUUCAUUAAGAACAGUUAAUAUUUUCCUAAUUGAAUGGUCGAUAAGAUAUUUAUAAUAAUCAUAUUUUUCAUAGCAAUCAAUUAAAUGCAUCAGUUUCGGAAUGCUAAAUAACAAUACCUUUCUUUUUAAAAAUAAAAUUAGAAAGAUCUUCCUAACUAAAUAAUUAAGUCGACAGCAAAAAAAAAUUAUACAUGAACAAAAUGACUAAUCCUAUUAGAAAAAAUAAAUGAAUUUAUAAGGGUUUGAGAUUUAAAAAGUGUCGGUUAAAAAAGAGACGGGUUCAAAUACAUGACAGAUUUAUUUAUUGUAAAAUAUUAUUUUUAAAAACAAUUAAUUAUAAACUUUCUGAAUAUUUUUUUUUUAAAUUCACCUUUCGUAUUGAAAUAUAAAUAUUCUAAAAAAAAUUGUUUUAUCAUGUAAUCUAAGAAAUAUGUCAUUACAAAUAUGUUCUUUACAAUUUCAUUUAUGAUAAUAAUGUGAAAUCUUUUUUUUCAAUAAUGUAUUUUUUCCUAUUAUAAAAAAUAUUAAUAAAAUAUUUUAAUAUUUUUAAUAAUAUAGUUAUUUGAAUUCAGAAUUAUUAUUAACAAUAUUAAAAUUAUUAUGAUCUAUAUACAUAUUUUUAUUUUAUAAUAUUAUGUCCGGAAAUUUAACAAAAAAUGAUUAAUCCUUGCGGACUAACAUUUUUAUGUGUAAGCAUUCAGUAAAAAAAAAUUAUUUAGAACUAAAUUACAAACAAUUAAAAAAAUGAUCUAAACGGAUUUGAAAUUUAAAAGGUCAAGAAAAGGUUUAAACAUGAUAAAUUUAUCUAUUUUAAAUUUUAUGACAAAGUGGUAUAGACAUUUUUAGAAGUGGGUGUUCGGACUACCAUUCGGGUUUGGUUCGGGUCUAUUCGGAUUUUGGGUUUUCAGGGUACGAUAUUUAAGCCCCAUUUGGAUUUUUAUAAAUUUUGUUUCGGGUUCGGUUUAGAUCUUUGCGGGUUCGGAUAACCCGUUUAAAUUAUUUUAAAUUUUUUAAAAUUGUAUAUACUUUAAAUUUCUUAAAAUCUAAAAAAUAAAAUAAUAUAUAACAUAAAAUUUUGAGUAAUGUAUGCCAAGAUACCUAAACCUAACAUAAAAAUUGGUUUGCAUUGCUUAUUUGGUUAGGUAAUCAAUAUAUAUUAAGUUGGUGUUUUAAGUAUAGUUUAGCUACAUUAGAUAUUUACUGACUAUUUCUUUAAAUUUUCAAACAUUUUGGACAACUUCAAAAUAUUCUAUACAUUUUGGAAGUUAAAUAUAAAAUAGCUAAUAUAUUCAAGUAUAUAAAUCUAAUUCGGAUAUAUUCGGAUACUCGAAAUAUUUUUGUUCCGGUUCUUUAGAUACCAAAAUUUUAAACAUGUUCACAUAUCUAACAAGUUUCGACUCAGGUUCAGUACUACUUUCUCGUAUCAUAUUCAUUUCAGUUCUUCGGAUUCGAAUUUUUUGCCCAACCCUAAAAUUUUUAAGAAUUUUGACAACAUAAAAUGUUCCAGGCUUCAAAACGUGUCGGUAAAAAAGGAGACGGGUUUAAACAUGACAGAUUUAUCUACAUGAAAUAAUAUUUAUUAAAAUUUUAAUUAUAAACUUUCUGUAUUUUUUAAUUAAAAUCCAUCUUUCUUGUUGAAACGUAAAUAUUAUAUUAAACCUUUUUAUCAUGUAAUAUAUGUCAUUUCGAAUAUUUCUCUUUAGAAUUUCAUUUAUGCGAAUAAUGUGAAAUCUAUUUCUAACCAAUUUAGUUAUACCAUUUUUAUAUUUUUAAUAAUAUAUGUUUUUCCUAUUAUAAAAUUAAAUCUUAAUACUUUUAAUAAUAUAUUUAUUUGCAUUUGAAAUUAUUAUUAAUAAUAUUUCAAUUAUUAUAAUCUAUAUGCGUCUUUCAUUUUAUAAUAUUAUUUUUGAUAAAUAAACAAAAAUGAUCAAUCUUUGUUUACUAACAUUUUUAUACAUAUUUUUUCAGUAAAACAUAUUUUUAUACAGAACUAAAUAGUUAAUUCUAUUAAAAAAAAGGAUCAAAACGGGUCUGAAAUUUAAAACGAAUCGGUCAAAAAUGAGACGAAUCUAAAUAUGAGAAAUUAACCUAUUUGAACUCCCGAAAAAAAGAUUUAUCUAUUUUAACAUUUGUGACUAAGUGACAUAGAUAUUUUCUUGGUUUUUCACGACGUAAAAAUCCUGCGCUUUAAAAGCGCGGGUCAAAAUCUAGUCUAAACUAUUAAAACAGAAGUACAAAAUUAAACUAACCCUUAAACUUACACAAUAUUUACAAUAGAAUGCCACUGCAGUAUUUAAUAAACCUAACAAUAGAUAUUCUUUGUCUUUCAUGUUUUAUUAAUGCAUUUUCCUAAAUUAAUUUUUAACUAAAAACAUGGCAACAAUAAUUUAAGCAAAUCUAAACAAUAAGGAAUAUCAAAACAUGAAUCAGUUGAGACAAUUUUUUUCACGAAAAAGAUGAUUAAUUAGUUUGUACUUUUAUUAUCAUAUCAUGAAUCAGUUGUAAUUUAAAAUCCAAUUUUUAUAUAUAUAUUUAUACUAUAAUGUAAAAAAAAUGACGUAAUAAGUGAAAAAAUCAUUUUAACCACACGAGAUCAACAUAUGAACAAUAAGAAAACAUAUACAAACAUCGUCCAUUUGUUCAAUGAAUAUUAUAUCUUUUUAAUGCUCUUCAUAUACUCAAUAUAAUCAAAAUAUCUAUUUUAAUAUAUCUAUAUUAUUAAAACUGAGGUAAGUAUUAGAAUUUUUUUUUUCAUUCUAAUAACUACAUGCGCUACCUAAUUAAUAAUUAUUAAUUAAUUGACAACAAAUCAUUUAUUUUGUUAGAUUUUUUGCUAUCCAAACUUCAAACUUAAUUCAUUAACUACAAAUCAUUUAUUUUUUUAAAUUCUUUUCUAACCAAACGUACGAAACUUACGAUUAUUUUCUAACUGGAUUAUUCUGUAACCAAAUUUUACAAUAAAACUAAAAAAAUUUAUUUAAAAUGUAUCUACAAACUUUAAAUGUUAUAGAUAUAUUCAUAUAUAUCAUUAUUUUAUUUCACAUGCAAAAUAUAAACUAUAGAUAUUUUUAUAAAGUUAUUUUCAAAAUAUAUAUUAAAUAAUUUGAUGAUUAAUACAAUUCACAAAUAUAAAUUUAAUUAUAAGAAUACAAUAAAUAAAUUUCAAUUUAAUAUUUUCUCAAAAAUGAAAAUAAAAGUGAAAUUUAUUUGGCAUAUAAAAAAAAUUUAGAGACAUAUAUAUCUAUGUUAUUAAAACAUGAUACAUUUAAUUUUUAAAAUAUAAAUUUAUUAAUAUAUAUAUAAACAUAAUAAUUGGUACUCUAAUUUAGAAAUAAAUACAUCAAAAUGGUUACUGUAGUCAAAAAUAUAAAUCGACAAAUAUAUUAUAUAAUAUAUUUUUAAUUUGUUUUGUAUUCUACCAUAAUAUGAGAAAUCAACAAAUUACACACAGUAAAAAUAGUCCAUUUAUCACAAUUACAAAUCGAAUAAAUACCAUAUGAAUGUAUAUAUCUACAACUAUUAUAUUUUGUAUUGUAAAAAAAAUUAUAUUUCUAUUUUGUUAAUUAAACACCCGUGCGGAUGCACGGGUCAAACUCUAGUUUGAUUUAUUUCAUAUGUCAUCACCAAUGUUUUAAAAACCAGAUCGGACAUUGACUCGGCAUUGUACCUGGGUAAACGGUCGGCUCGGUCCAACCCGGUUCAAGCGGCUUUUAAAUUUUAAUCAAAUUUUAAAUUAAAUAACUAUAUAUAUAUAUAUAUAUAUAUGUAUAAUCAAUUUAAUUUUAUAAACCUUUCUAUCAUUGUUAAUAUAAAAAAUCAUAUGAAAAUAAAAUGCAACUUCAAAAAUAAUAUAAAACUAUAGUUAAAGUAAUUUAUUUAGAUAAAUAUUAAAAAAAAUAUGAAUUUUUAUGAAAUCUUUUUUAAAAUUGCAAAUUUUAUUUUUAAACUUGAAUUUGAGAAAAUCUCAUAAUUUCAUAAUUGAAAAAUAUUGUUUAAAAUCAGUUUAAAAUUGCAUUAUUUAAACAUAACUUAACAUUUAAAAGUUUUACGUAAACACAAGUUCAAUUAAAGCUACUUAAUUUUUUAUAAAACUUUAUUGUAAAUAACAUGUUUGGUUUUCUGUUGUGAAAGCAACACUAAGUAUAAAUUGCAUGCACCAUUAAAUAUUGAUUCUGGCAGAGUAACAAACGUUACAGAUACUAAAGUUUUAGCUAGCUCUAUUCAAAUAUGAAAGAAUUUCUAUACCAAAAACGAUGUGUGUUUUUUACUGAGAAAAACAUAAUUUUUUUUACUGAGAAAAACAUAAUUUUCUUGAAUAAAGUAGAAUCUUAAAUAUUGAAAUAUUUAUGUUGAUAGUUCAAAUUUCUUCUUAUAUUAAAUUACAUAUAAAUCUGAUAUUGAUAUAUUUAUAUUAAAGAUAUUGUCUUUUUAUAUUAAAUUUAUUUUUUAGUUAUAUAAAAAGAAAAUCGUUUUUAUUAAAUUACAUGUUUUAUAUUUAUUAAAGAUAUUUCCUUUUUGAUGAUAAAGUGAUUUUGAAACAAAUAUUUAAAUGUUUAUUAAAAUAUUGAUAGUGGUAUUUUAACAAUAAAAUUUAUUUAUUAAGGUUAUCACUGUAAUUAACCAUUCUAAGAAUCAACGUGAGUGCGACACGUAGAAAACUGACUUAUCAUAUACUAUUAUAGAGAUAAAGUACUAUUAUGGAGAUAAAGUACUAUUAUGUUCUACACAACUUUAUAUAAUUUUGCUUAUUUGUCAUAUUUUUAAUGAUUUUGACUGAUGAAUCAUCAAUUUAGAUUUAUACUAUUAUUUAAAAUUUUAUCUUAUUUAGUCAUCAAUUAUUUAUUUAAUCUUAAUUUUAAAAUAGAAUUAAACUAAUAUUUAAAAUUAAUUAAUGUAAUCAAAUAAUAAAAUCUAAAAACUGACAAAAAUUUAUUUUAAAUAAAAUUUAAAUUUAAAAAAAUAUUACUCUAAACAUAGUGCAGAAAAAUACCUAAUACAAACUUCAUAUUGUAAGUGAACAUAAAUGUUCAAGACAAAAAAAAAGUGGUAGUAAUAGCAAAAAGUAUAAAUACAAAGUAAACUAUAAAAGGGGCCAUCAUAAAAACUAACAAUUCUUCAAUAGUUAUAAGUUAGAAAAUAUAUAUAGAUUCUUUUAACUUAUAAAAUUAAUUAUUUAUUAAUGGUAUCAACGUUUUUAACCGAUCUGACUUUUAAGGUGAGAGCUAAUAAAAAAAAUUAAAUCAUUUUGCAAAUAAUAAUAUAGAUAUAUUAUAUUUUAACAUUUAAAAGACACACAUAUUAUUUCGAGGCUCUAAUCUUAUAGUACGGUUUUCAGAAUUAAAUGUUGAUGAAGAACUAGAAGCCAUGGGUAAGAAAAUGGUCACAUAUUGUGGAGGACUACCAUUAGCCGUUAAAGUGCUGGGAGGCUUGUUAGCUAAUAAAAACAUGGUUGAAGAGUGGAAAAGAGUAGAUGACAAUAUUCAAACUCAGAUAGUUCGCAUAGAUGACAACAGUCAAGAUUCGGUUUACCGAGUAUUGUCUAUGAGCUAUGAAGAUUUGCCCAUGCAGUUAAAGCAUUGCUUCCUAUACCUAGCUCAUUUUCCCGAAGAUGACAAGAUACAAGUACGGAUAUUGUAUAAUCUUUGGGAAGCAGAAGGAAUAAUAACGUCAAGUUGCGAUGGAGAAACCACUAGGAAAAUUGGAGAAGAAUACAUAGACGAGCUAGUAAGGAGAAAUAUGGUUAUUGCAGUAAAAGAUGAUUUGAGUUGCAAAUGGAAGUAUUGUCAAAUGCAUGACAUGAUGAGAGAAGUAUGUUUAUAUAAAGCCAAAGAAGAGAACUUUCUUCAGUUUAUCGAAGUACCUACUUCUUCCACCUCUACCAUCAAUGCGCAUACUCCUACCAGAGCUCGCAGACUCGUAGUACACGGUGAUGGUAAUGCAUUUGAUAUGCUGGGACGUAAAAACAAUCAAAAAGCUAGAUCUGUUUUGGGUUUUGGACUCGACAGCAACUUGUGGAAGCAGUCAGGUCAAGGAUUACGAAAUUUACAACUACUUAGGGUCUUAGAUCUGAAUUUACAAACACAUGAUAGCGACUCUAGAGGAGGGAGAAUACCAUCCAGCAUUGGAAAGCUCAUUCAUUUGAGAUAUUUGAGCUUACACAUGGGUCGUGCAACUCAUGUACCUUCUUCUUUACGGAAUCUAAAGCUUCUAAUCUGUUUGAGCAUUUACUCCGAGGGAAGAGUUCAUCUGCCAAGUAUCUUUAAAGAGAUGGUAGAGUUAAGGUCCCUGAUGCUUCCCCGUUAUAUUGACGCUAAAACAAAGUUGGAAUUGGGUAAUCUACUGAACCUAGAGUACUUGGUCGGCUUCCGACUUGAAUACGGUAGCAUCACAGACUUCCUCCGAAUGAAAAAGCUCAGGACUCUCGAGAUAUUUCUCAAAGGCAGGUAUACUUCUGAAAUUCUUGCGUCAUCUCUCUGUGAAUUAACAAACCUGGAGACGCUUAAAUUGAUCAAUGUGAACGGAUACGAUGAGGCUUAUGAUUUGGAUUUCGUUUGGAAUUUCAUUCAUCUAAGGCAUUUAGAGCUGGACAUACAUAUAACAAGGCUUCCUGAUCACUCUCGAUUUCCUCCCCACCUUGCACACAUAUCUCUAUGUGACUGUAAAAUGGAGGAGGAUCCACUGCAGAUUCUGCAAAAGUUGCUUCAUUUAAAGUCGGUUGAAUUAUCAUAUAGUACUUUCGUGGGGAGGAAGAUGGUGUGUUCAAAAGGUGGAUUCCCUCAGUUAUGUAAGCUACAAAUACGGUUCCUGCACAACUUGGAAGAGUGGAUAGUCGAAGAAGGGUCGAUGCCAUGUCUUCGUACCUUGUCUAUUCGGUAUUGUAAGAAGUUGAAGGAGCUACCGGAAGGGCUCAAGUAUAUAACUUAUUUAAAGGAACUGGAUAUCAGACAUAACAACAAGGAGUGGAAGAAGAAACUCGCACCAGGUGGGGAAAGUUAUCACAAAGUCAAACACAUUCCUAGUGUUCAAUUAAACUAUCGUGGCAAUUAAUAAGGAGAAUAAAACUGUCUCAGGUAUAUAUUCUUUUUGGUAUAAUGUCAAUAUUGUUCAUUUUGUUGGUUAUGUAUCCUCCUUGAAGUUUAGUGUGAGUCUCAACUCUCUGUUAUUCGGUUUUCAGGUGAACCUACUCAGGAUCAGUACCCACCACUAUCGAUUGUGUGAUAUGAUAAUAAGUCGUUUUUGUUGUAUGAAGUUUACAUAUCUUGUUUGUGAUAUAUUUCGUUUAUCUGUUUGCAUGCUCAUUCACUGUAAUACUAAGUUUGAAAUAUAUUUUGUAUGUUGAACCAUAUCUUCUUCGAUGUCUCCGUUGUGUGUGCUUAGUUGAUUUUCAUAGUCGGAACUGGAGAUAGAACGAUGGUUUUAUCAUGACAAAACGCAAGAACAACAACACAUAUAAAUUAGAUAUGUUGUAACAACUAUUUAAAAAAUUGAAUGAUGGAAACCCCAAAUUUGUUUAAAGAAAAUGAUGUUGAUAGUGGUUUUUGAAAAAAAAAAAGGGAUUAUGAUGAACAAUAACAAUGAAAACUCAUUGUAAACACGCUUUAGAGAGCCAAACAAAUAAAUCAAUUCUAAGAUUUUUGGUGGAAAGGUAAUUUAAGAGGAGAUGGAAAACGAUAACAGGAAUGAGUCUUUAAAAACACACAUAUAUAUAGAUUGAUAAAGGAUGCUUCAUCUAAGAGUUGUAUUGUUUUGAGAUGGAGACUAUUCGGUGAAAAGAUGCAACGCACCGCAGUUUUGUUUUUUUAUAUCAUUAAAUUCAAUCAAAUAUGACUGUUGGACUUAAAACCUUUUUUCUUUUAAAAAGUGACGAUAUCACCAGUUUUGGUAUGCUAUUAUAUAUAUAAUUUUUUUAUAAUGAAAAUAUACAAUUUUAAAAAUUAAUAAUAUUCAGAUUGUUAUGAAAAUAUACAAUUUAUAUAAUGAACAGACACAAUUUUUCAAACUAAUACAUUUCAGUUUUUUUUUAUGAAACAACACAACCAAAGUAGUUAUUUUGAAAAGACACAACUAUUUCGAUUUUUAGAAAAGAUACAACUUUUCAACAUAAGUAAGAUUCAUAACCUUUGAAAUUAAUCAGGAUUGCUAUUAUUAGUAGAUAAAAUAUUUGAUUUUAUCAUAUAUAUAUAUAUAUUAACAGUGGCGGUUCUACUAAGCUCAAGAAGGUGGCACUUGCCCCCUAUAAAAUCAUUAAAUUCUUUUUAACUUACCCAAAAUUUUGUUACAUACGUUUACUGAAAAUCAUGUUUUAUUUAUAUAGUUGUAUUUACAUAUGAUUUGCCCCCAGUAAAAUUUUGUUCUACAUCCGCCCCUGUAUAUUAAUUAACUUUUAGAAAUCCGACAUUUAUAUUUUUUUGUUACACUAUUUGGUGUAUACAAAAUAUGUUUUAUAGAAUUUAAAAUGUAUUUUUAUAUAUAAUUUUACGAAAUAUUAUCAAAAUAUAUUGAAAUGUUAAGAAAAAAUAGAAAUGAACUUCAUUUGUGAAUAUAAAACAAAUAAUACAAUGUUUAAUGUUUGUACUUUAUGUGUUUAUUAAUUAUAGAAUUUUUACUGCAUAUUGUUAUAAAUAUAUAUAUAUAUUUUAAAAACAUUUGAAAAGACUAAACACACUAUUAUUUCAAGACUCUGAUCUUAUAACGUGUGUUACUAUUUUCAGAAUUUGAUGUUGAUGAGGAACUAGAAGCCAUGGGUAAGGAAAUGGUGGCAUAUUGUGGAGGACUACCAUUAGCCAUUAAAGUGUUGGGAGGCUUGUUAGCUAAUAAAACCAUGGUUGAAGAGUGGAAAAGAGUAGAUGACAAUAUUCAAACUCAGAUAGUUCGCAUAGAUGACAAAAGUCAAGAUUCUGUUUACCGAGUAUUGUCUAUGAGCUAUGAAGAUUUGCCAAUGCAGUUAAAGCAUUGCUUCCUAUACCUAGCUCAUUUUCCCGAAGAUGACAAGAUACAAGUACGGAUAUUGUAUAAUCUUUGGGAAGCAGAAGGAAUAAUAACGUCAAGUUGCGAUGGAGAAACCACUAGGAAAAUUGGAGAAGAAUACAAUAGACGAGCUAGUAAGGAGAAAUAUGGUUAUUGCAGUAAAAGAUGAUUUGAGUUGCAAAUGGAAGUAUUGUCAAAUGCAUGACAUGAUGAGAGAAGUAUGUUUAUAUAAAGCCAAAGAAGAGAACUUUCUUCAGUUUAUCGAAGUCCCUACUUCUUCCAUCUCCACCAUCAAUGCUCAUACUCCUACCAGAUAUCGCAGACUCGUAGUACACGGUGGUGGUAAUGCAUUUGAUAUGCUGGGAAGUAAAAACAAUCAAAAAGCUAGAUCUGUUUUGGGGUUUGGACUCGACAGCAACUUGUGGAAGCAGUCAGCUCAAGGACUCAGAAAUUUACAAUCACUUAGGGUCUUAGAUCUGAGUUUAGAUUAUAAAAACGACUCUAAAGGAGGGAGAAUACCUUCGAGCAUUGGAAAACUCAUUCAUUUGAGAUAUUUGAGCUUAGACAUGGGUUGGGCAACUCAUGUACCUUCUUCUUUACGGAAUCUAAAGCUUCUAAUCUAUUUGAGAAUUUCCUCCUGGGGACUGGAAAGAGUUCAUCUGCCAAGUAUCUUUAACGAGAUGGUACAGUUGAGGGUCCUGAUUCUUCCCCGUUCUUUUGAGGCUAAAACAAAGUUGGAAUUGGGUAAUCUCGUGAACCUGGAGUACCUGAUCGGCUUCCGAUCAGAAUACGGUAGCAUCACAGACUUCCUCCGGAUGAAAAAGCUCAGGACUCUCGAGACCUGGAGAAGCUUACAUUGAUCAAUGAGAACAACAAAUCCGAUGGGGUUUAUGAUUUGGAUUUCGUUUGGAAUUUCAUUAAGCUAAGGCAUUUAGUGAUAUGGAUGCAUAUGCCAAGGCUUCCUGAUCACUCUCGAUUGCCUCCCAACCUUGCACACAUAUCUCUAACUAACUGUGAAAUGGAGGAGGAUCCACUGCAGAUUCUGCAAAAGUUGCUUCAUUUAAAGUCGGUUGAAUUACAUCAAAGAUCUUUCGUGGGGAGGAAGGUGGAUUCCCUCAAUUAUGUAAGCUAGACAUAUGGUACCUAGACGACUGGGAAGAGUGGAUAGUCGAAGAAGGGUCGAUGCCAUGUCUUCGUACCUUGUCUAUUCGGUUCUGUGACAAGUUGAAGGAGCUACCGGAAGGGCUCAAGUAUAUCACUUCUUUAAAGGAACUGGUUAUCACACAUCAGAACAAGGAGUGGAAGACAAAACUCGUACCAGGUGGGGAAAGUUAUUACAAAGUCCAACACAUUCCAAGUGUUCAAUUAAACUAUCUUGGCCACGAAUAAGGAGAACAAAACUGUCUCAGGUAUAUAUUAUUUUUGGUAUAAUGUCAAUAUUGUUCAUUUUGUUUGUUAUAUAUCCUCCUUGGAGUUUUGUGUGAAAGUAUGAACUCUCUGUUAUUCGGUUUUCAGGUGAACCUACUCAGGAUCAGUACCCACCACUACCGAUUGUGUGAUAUGAUAAUAAGUCGUUUUUGUUGUAUUGGUGUAUGAAGUUUACAUAUCUUGUUUGUGAUAUAUUCCGUUUUAUCUAUUUGCAUGCUCAUUCACUGUAAUGCUAAGUUUGAAAUACAUCUGCAUGUUGAACCAUAUCUUCUUCGCUGUCUCCGUUGUGUGUGCCUAGUUGACUUGUAUUGUAUGGUCGGAAAUGGAGAUAGAACGGUGCUUUGAUAGUGAUCACUUAAUACUAUUCUUAACAUGAUUUUAUCAUUUGGUUUAAGGAAUGUCAAGAGCUUUUAAAUGAAACAUCUAGUUAAUCCGUUUUAACAGAUAUAGAACCUUGGAGUUUAUUGAAACCAAAGUCAAGAGUUUCUCACCACAAUGAGACUAUCCUCACAGUUGAUAUCAAUGGCGCAAUCAAAUCAUAUAUACAACACCUUAGAGGAUUCAAGAAAGUCUCUUGGUUCCAUUCCUUCGCGACCUGGUUCGCUUUUUUCACUACUCAAGUGAUCAGCACUUUUGAUUGAAAACUGAUACCACACAGCAUCCACUUGAAACUAAACAUAAAUAUACAACCAAACAGUUACGCAAUGAUAGCUCAACCAGACAGAACCGAACCGAAUCUUAGUUUUGCUUUCCAAAUUUUAAAUAACGGGAUAAACCGGUUGAUUCUCAUCCAGUUCUGUAAUUUGUCUGACACUACUCAAGUGAUCAGCACUUUUGAUUGAAAACUAAUAACACACAGCACCCACUUGAAAGUUGAAACUAAACGCAACUCAAUGAUAAACCGGGAUAAACCGGUUAGUUCUCAUCGAGUUCUGUAAUUUGUCUUUUACUAUCAAACCGGACAAAUUGAUGGUUUAAAAACAAAACUCAGUCUGGAUUAUAAUAAAAUCAGAUCAUGAAACUCUACCAAACAAGAGUCCUUUCGGUCUCUGCAAAUUUGUUUUCGACUCUAAUUGAGAGGAGGAGAAGUCCAGUACUUGAAACGAAUCCAAAAACGCGGUGAUCCGUGCGUUUUCAGACACCAUCGCGACCGUAUGCAUAACUGGGUUAGAGCUUCCUCAUCCGAUUUCACCGGAACUCCUCCACAGCCCAGGAGGUAAAUUAAUUACUUCUUCUCCAUUCAAUUUCCGAUUUUAAUUUCAGCUGAUGAUUUUUAUUCUUCAUCAGUGGACAUACAGCUGUCAAUGUCGGAAAAUCCAUGGUCGUGGUGUUCGGCGGCCUCGUCGACAAGAAGUUCCUCAACGACAUCAUUGUUUAUGACAUUGGUAAUAUCAUACUUCCUUAGGAUUAUUGUUUCCUUGCUUCAAGAAAGAUGCUUUCUUUCUCACGAGUUACGUUCUUGGCUUGCUCUGCUUGUCUCUAGUAGUUUAUUUGAUAGAACGAUGCUUACAUCAAAGAUAGUUACUUUGCAACAAAAAAAAAAAAAAACUAUAGAAAGCUGAAAACUUCAAGAUGAGAUUAUUCGAUUCGGUGUUGUUGAAGAGGAAUCAGAUGGAUACUCUCUUUUCUUAUUUUGCUAGUUUUGUUUCUGAGCUUCUUUUGACCCCUCCUUGGCCUUGUUUUAAGUAUCAUAUAUGUGCAGCUUUUUUGAUCAUGUGAUAAUCGGUUUGUCUUAUGAUUUGCUUCUUCUUUAUCCUGUCGACUAGAGAACAAACUCUGGUUUGAGCCAGAGUGUACUGGCAGCGUUUCUGAAGGAAAAGUUGGCCCUACACCUCGCGCCUUUCAUGUUGCCAUCACUAUUGAUUGCCAUAUGUUCAUCUUUGGUGGACGUUCUGGUGGCAAGAGGUACUCACUACUAUAUAUUUUCUAGUUAGAAGCGUUUUUACAUUUCUACUUUCACCGGAAUAGCUUAUUUCUAGAAAUAAAUCAAUUUCAGAUUGGGUGACUUCUGGGUUCUAGAUACAGGUAAGUGUACAAUCAUAACAAUGUCAGUGACAUUAUGUCACUGAGACCUGCCUGGGAACUUUUUAAUACCCUGCUGCUGACAUUUUCUGCAGAUAUAUGGCAGUGGUCUGAGCUAACCAGCUUUGGCGACUUACCUACACCUCGUGAUUUUUCUGCUGCCGCUGCUAUUGGCAACCAGAAAAUCGUGUUGUGAGUAUCUGAAAUUUUAGACGUUCCAUCAGCUUGUUUCCUGCAUUGGCUUAGCCUAUGAUCAUUGGCAGGUGUGGCGGCUGGGAUGGUAAAAAAUGGCUGUCAGAUGUGUAUGUUAUGGACACAAGUAUAUCUCUCGUCUACUUCAGUUUUGUAAUAAACUGUUUUUAAGUUUCUGAUAAUGUCAGCUUUCUUGGUGUCUGUUAGUGUCUCUUGAAUGGAUGGAGCUGUCGGUUUCGGGGUCGUUGCCGCCUCCUAGAUGUGGCCAUACAGCCACCAUGGUUGAGAAACGUUUACUUGUUUUUGGUGGCCGAGGUAUAACACCAGAACCAGAAUCUUUGUUCUGCUUGAGCUGAUGACAACUAAACUGAGACUAUGGUUAUCUUUGACAGGAGGUGGUGGCCCUAUCAUGGGUGAUCUGUGGGCUUUGAAGGGUCUAAUAGAUGAAGGUUCAUCCUUACCUAAAUUACUUAAAAAUUGCAUUCUUAUGUUCUGUUUGCUAAUCUUAUUGUGGUUUACCUUUGUUGUGCAAGAAAGAACGUGAAACACCUGGAUGGACCCAACUAAAGCUUCCUGGCCAAGCACCAUCAGCUCGAUGUGGUCACACUGUCACAUCCGGAGGACAUUAUGUAUGUCUAUUUCAGCUUCCGUUUGCUCUUUUGUAUAAAUAGGUCGCAUGACAUACAUCACUCACAUCAUUAAUGUUCAUGUAUGAAGCUUCUGUUAUUUGGGGGACAUGGAACUGGUGGAUGGCUGAGUCGUUAUGAUGUCUAUUAUAAUGACACUAUAAUUUUAGACAGAGGUACAUUCUUGCUUAUGAGAUUCGUCUCCUCUGCUAAAGGAGCACUCUAAAUCCAAAAAUCCACCUCAGUAAUUUACAAUCUAGUGAGAUGAUAAAAUUGUGAUGUGCUUUAUCAUUUUUCUUGCUGAGCAUUGUUUUCUACGCGUUGUUGCUAAAUUUAUAUUUUCGCAUACUAGUAACUGCGCAGUGGAAGCGCUUACCAAUAAGCAAUGAUGAACCUCCUCCUCCUCGAGCUUAUCACACCAUGACAAGUAUUGGAGCUCGUCAUCUUUUAAUUGGUGGUUUUGAUGGAAAAUCAACCUUCGGUGAUCUUUGGUGGCUGGUUCCUGAAGGUAUCUUUCUCUUAUUUAUACUGAUGUUUUAGUCCAACUUAGCUAUCAUUCUGUGUACACGCAUCAUCAGUUACUUAUUGUUGGAAACUCUUUAGACGAACUAAUCCUGGUGUUGGUCGCAGAUUGUAGGCAAUUUUAGAGACACUUAAUUUCUAGCAUAAUCUUUUUUUUCUUCUUUAUCAAGUUUGUAUUGAAAGUUUUGAAGUUUUACUGAACUGUUUAGCCUUCUGAAAAUGUUGUUAUUCGUUUUUUUCUUUUUCUCUUUUCUCAGAUGAUCCCAUAGCCAAGAGGUCUUCUGUACCUCAACUUAGAAACCCUCCUGAGACUAAAGAGUCAGAGAGAGAUUUGGAUACGGUAACUGUAGUUCCUGCUCAUCAUCUUAUGUGUUUCUCGCCAAUGCAGUUAAAUUAGCUUUUCAACGUGUUUUUAACACCAAGAGUUUGGUCACAGCAGGAAAGAGGACAAGAGGGAUUCACUAUCGCCGACUUGCAAAAGAAAAUGGGAAUCUCUGUUUCUUCAGGGUUACGCCUUCAAAUACCCGAGGAGUUAGAAGAUCAAGAGUUCGUUGAGUUAGGAACCAGAUUGAUUGAGGGAGAUGCAGUUGAUAAUGGAGCCUCCAUGAUUCAGGUGAGUUUUUCCUCUUGUCUAUUUUAGAAUGUGUGAUUGUGUUAUUCUUGUACUGAAAAUGCUUCUCAACGAAUAGAUGGCAGUUGAAGCACUUCGUCAACAUUGGAAAGAGUCCACUCCAGAGACUUUGCAAUUAAAGGAGCUUGGUUCCUUGCUUCGAGAUUAUCAGCGACUGGUUACCCGAAAAUACACGUGAGUUCUUAUCCAUGCCUAACUAUUUCAGACUCAGUUCUUGUUUAUGUAGAUUAUCUUUUGUUUCACUAAAAAUGGUUGUUCUUUGAUUGCGCUUGGAAUCACCACAUGGCAUUAGAAUAACUUAGAUAAAUCUCCUGAGAGUUUAGGAGUCAUAUAGAGUUAAUAUGAAUAUAUCAUUUUUGUGUCUUGAAUAGCCCUCGAGACUCUUUAAUCCGAGCAUAUUGUCAAAACUGAUAAUGUUGUGAAUGCAUUGUUUUGUGCCCCUACUAUUACAUGUUAUGAAAUCUCACAUCUGCUUCUUCCUUUCCUUGACACAUGUUUCUUUUCAUUUGUUGUGGCGGGUUUCUAUCAGAGCACAGAGCAGCUUAACAUCUGCUGAUUUUGGAAAGAAGACGUUUACGUUUUAUCAUAUCAAAAAUUCUUCCGAGGUAUUACUCUGCAUACUUUCCUCCCUCGCCUGAAUAUUUGACACCAAUCAAUCAAAACAUCAGGCUUUCCUCCUGACAUGUCAAGUUUACAUUUUGCUAUUCUCAGUUGCGGAUGGAUGACAUUCCGGAGUUGCUGGAAGAAUACAAAACCCUUGUAAUCUGAUUGAGGAGCUCUGCCAUGAAACUCACAAGGAGAAUACAAAACUCAUCAAGUAGCUGCCAAGAAGAUCACCAAGAUUGCUAUCAGCAUUACCAUUGCAAACCACAAAGCUAAAAAGUCUCAAGAGAAUCACAUCUCUGAUAGACAACUAUGUACAACUUCUUUUUAGCAAGAACAAAAAGAUACAACGUAUAUGUAAGACUUCCAUUAUCUCAACUUAAAUCCAUAUCUAAGCCUCUGCUCUUUUAUUUCUUGUUUGGGCUUUGAAAAUAGAUUGUUUUGCCUUGAAGCCAAUGCGAAAGUAAGGAAAAAAGUAGGCAAACUUCAUCUAUUAGACUUUGAAAUGGAUUACAACAACAACGGUACUCUUGAUAACUUAAACCACAGAGUUUCUGUCUGCAUAGACCCGUAUUGUCUUUUCUCUAUCCCCUAAAACAACUCGAACUCAAGAUGAUCUCCCAUGGCUUUACAUUCAAGAUAUCCAUUACCAUUUCCUUUAGGAGAAGUUGCUUCCGUUGCACCAUUCUCAUAUACAUCCGGCAGCUCAGGCGGAAUGGCGCAGCGGAUGAGAGCCCAGUUCAAUCCUUCAAAGAAUGGAUGCCUCUUGAUCUCUGCAGCUCCUUUCUCCCACCCGAGGCGGCUCCCCGGAUCCUUCAUCACCAACCUUCUGAUCAAAUCCUUUGCCUGGAAGCUCACAAGAGGGCUAUCAGGAAACUUGAGGUUCUGAAACACAAACGUCUCCUCAUUGUCAUAACCUUUGAACGGUGUCUUCCCGUAUAAAAGCUCAUAGAGAAGAACCCCAAACGUCCACCAGUCUACUGCAGCACCGUGACCUUCUCCUUUAAUGAUCUCCGGCGCCAAGUACUCGUGCGUUCCUACAAAAGAGUUUGAUCUUGCUUCAGUUGGUUCAGCCACAAGCUGAGGCAAUGAUCUGAACUGUUGGGUCAGAAGAUCAGGCCUUCUCUGUUUUCUUGGUUUUGAGUUUCUAGCUUGCGUUGACAAGAGCCUAGGGCUGAAACAUGGGACACGGCACGAUGGACUCUAUCUAAAUCACAGGUUCUUCAUCUUCUUUGGAAGCUGAGGAGCUUGAUACAAUAAGUGAAGACGAAGACAAACAGCAGUAUCCAGGCGAUGUGCACCGCAGCUACAGCUGGUAAGAAGUCAUGUUCGAACCCGGAUCCAUCUUUGAGCAACUGUUUUAGUUCCGUGUCUAGGAGACCAGUGUUCUGCACUAUCGAAUCUUGGUCUCCUACUUGAGAUGUGAUGCUUCCAUACAAUGUCCAGCCACUGGCGUUGCCUAGUAAUUAAUAUCAUCUCCACCAUAUCAAUAUUUGCUGCAUCCCCUCCUCCAUAAGAAACAUAAAACAUAAAAGUUAGGUAGCUCUAAAACACUUCUGAUCAUAACAAAAAGUAAGAUCUAUAACACACUUGAUGAUUACGUAAGUUGGUUCGUAAUUUUUACCAAUCUUUGGGAUGAGGAACUGGAGAAAAGAUUCCAAAUAGACCGAGGAAGAAAGACAUGCAGAUUCCGGAGAUUUGAUAGUUUGGUGUCAAGGCCACAAAGCAUCAAGCUUGGUAACAUGUCGUAGUAGUAGAAGUAGAACCAGAAGAACUUGACCACAGUACGGUCGUAUCCUAUCAUUGAGUAAAGGAUUAUAGUAUGUAAACUCUAGUUUGUAUGGUGUCAUACUACAUGAUCUAAUAACUUUGUCUAUAUUACCAAUUUUCCCAAUUAAUUAUUUCUAACAAAAGUAUAAUGUAUACAUAUCAAUGAAUAUAUAUUUUGAAAGUUGAAAAUAAGGGAGAAAUUUUUUUUUACCAAAAAGAAUAAUAAGGGAGAACUAUAGUGAAUGCUUCGAGUGGGCCUAAGCAAACGCAUUAUUGCCUUGCGAAAAAAUCAUUAUCGCCAGAGACUAGAAAAAAACUCCUAUUUUCUUUUUAAUUCAAAAUUAGAACCACAAGAUGACUGUCAUAGACUGUCGAUACUCUUUCAUUAUUUCUUCUUCCAAAGAACGUCGCUAAGCAAGUUGCAGAUCUGUUACAUGUAAGGUAAAUCACGUUCUUGUAUCAUUAUUUGUCUGUUUAACUUGCUCUGAUCUGUCUUUUGGGCUCUGUGGUGGUUGAAUCUGAAUUUAAAAACAAAAAUUCGUUGCAUUGUUACAAAUCUUGUUUUACGAAUUUAAAGCAUUUAAUCAUCAAUGCUUGAAUAAAAGUAAGUUAAGUAAAGUUCCUCUGACAGGUAUCAUGUUUUAUUAGAUCAACCAAGGAUUAUCAUAACCGGUUUUAAAUCUUACUAUACAAGUUUGUACUCAUAUGUUGACGGUGGAACAGGAGAAUAGCGAUGGCUGAGGGAAUUGUAUCGUUUGGAGUGCAGAGACUCUGGGAGCUCUUGGCUCGAGAAUCUGAGAGACUGCAGGGAGUUCAUGAGAAAGUUGAUGAUCUAAAAUGUCAGAUGAGAAUGUUACAGUCGUUGUUGAAAGAUGCAGAUGCGAGGAAACAUGAGAAUGAAGUAGUGAGAAACUUCUUGGAAGAUGUCAAAGACAUUGUUUUUGAUGCUGAAGAUAUAAUUGAAUCUUUUCUUUUGAAAGAAUCUAGCGGUGACGAAAAAGGGAUCAAGAGGCGUGUGAAAAGACUUUCGUGUUUCUUAGUGGAUCGCCGAGAUAUUUCUAUGGACAUUGAAGGCAUAACUAAGAGAAUGUCUAAGGUUAUUGCCCAAAUGCAGAGCUUUGGAAUACAACAUAACGUCUACAGAUCACCGUCUCUACAAGAGAGGCAAAGGGAGAUCCGACAAACAUAUCCUAAGAGGUCUCAAAAGGAUCUUGUGGGGGUGGAACAGAGUGUUAACGAAUUGGUUGGUCAUUUGGUGGAGAAUGAUAGCAUCCAAGUAGUUUCCAUAUCUGGGAUGGGUGGUAUUGGGAAAACCACUCUUGCGAGACAAGUUUUUCAUCAUGACAUUGUUCGAAGUCAUUUUGAUGGAUUCGCAUGGAUCUGUGUUUCCCAAGAUUUUAAGCGGAAGGAUAUUUGGCAGAAGUUAUUGCAAGACCUUAGACCACAUGAUACGGGCAUUGAACAAAUGAAUGAGGGUACACUCCAGGCUAAGAUCUUUCACUUGUUGGAAACAUCUAAAUAUUUAAUUGUCAUGGAUGAUGUAUGGAAAAACAAAGACUGGGAUAUAAUAAAAGACGUUUUCCCCCAAGAAAGAGGUGAGUUCUCUUAUUGUACAUACAUUACUUAAUACUCCCCAUAGCUAUUUCAUAAAUGCAUUUGAGUCCCUGAGAUGAAAGGAAAUACAAUUGCAGGUUGGAAGAUGAUUCUUACUUCACGUGAUGAAGGUGUUGGUUUCCAUGCAAACCCAACAUGUUUUCCCUUUAGACCAAAAACUCUUACUCAUGAAGAAAGUUGGAAGCUAUGUGAGAGCAUAGCAUUCCCUAGAAAAGAGAUAACGGGUACGUUUUUCUAUAAGAAUCAUAUGAAUCCUUAAGGCCAGAAAUCUCUUACGGGCAGUGUUUUUAAAACCGGAUCGGCUAGCGAACCGAAAUUUUUUUAGAUCAUGGGUCAUUGUGGUUCAACCGGGUCUGAACCGUGUUCGAUCGGGUUUAAUUAGAUUAAACUAAAUUUAAUGAUAUUUUAUAAAUAAUAUGCAUAUUCUUAAAAAAAAAUAGAUCAUAUCAAAUAAAAUGUUUAAAUAGCCAUAAUGUGUAGAAAAACUUAAAAAUAACAAUUAAAAUUUAAAAUCAAUAUGAAAAGCAUAAUUAAACUUUAUUCGCAAAUCUUAUCACUCUAAAUCUUUAUCAUCUUAUAAAAAAAAUUUAUAGUAAAAUUUAUAUUUUGAAAUACAAAUUUCACAAACAUAAAGGUUUCAAUUAUUAGAAGUCUUCAAAACAAGUGAUCAUGAAAUAAAAUUUAAACAAAGUGAGAAGUAGACAAAAACAACAUCUUGACGUAUUAAACUUUGUGAAUCUUGUAAUUUAUGAGUUGUAGAGACGACAAAAGAAAAAGACGAAAGACGAUAUUUUAUUAAUCUUUAAUAAAACUUAUUUUUUAUUUAAAAAAGAAGAAAAAUUAAUUAUUUCAUUAACAAAAUUUUGGCUUAUAUACUAACCGUAGUUUGGCCGAUUCAUUGGAUCGCCGGUUCCUAGGGUUUUGACGGUUUGAUAGGGGUUUUUAACUGGUUCAAAUUUAGUUGGGUUUUAGUAUUAACCCAACCCAGAUUAUUUUCGGUUGAUAGUUCAACCCGGUCUGACCGCCAGUUCGGUCCAAGUUUAAAAACAUUGCUUACAGGACAUCUUAUCAAAAAUCUUGUGUAUUAAUUCCUAAAUCCGCAUGACAUAUAUUAUUAUAUAUACCUUUGAGAAACAAUAUACCAUUUGAUUUAUUUCAUAUGUCAUCACCAAUGUUUUAAAAACCAGAUCAGACAUUGACUCGACAUUGUACAUGGGUAAAUGGUCGGCUCGGUCCAACCCGGUUCAAGCGGCUUUUAAAUUUUAAUCUAAUUUUAAAUUAAGUAACUAUAUAUAUGUAUAAUCAAUUUAAUUAUAUAAACCUUUCUAUCGUUGUUAAUAUAAAAAAUCAUAUGAAAAUAAAAUGCAACUUCAAAAAUAAUAUAAAAUUAUAGUGAAAGUAAUUUAUUUAGUUAAAUAUUAAAAACAAUAUGAUUUUGUUUUGAAAUCUUUUUUAAAAUUGCAAAUUUUAUUUUUAAACUUGAAUUUGAGAAAACCGGAUUUUAAUAUCGAACCAAAUCACCGGUUUUAACGAGUUUGACAAGUUUUUUGAUAAGGUUUACCAGUUUAAUUCAAAUUUGGUUUUAACACAACUAGGAACCGGCUAAAAGAACGAGUCACGGUCCAAACAGACGGUCCGGUUUUCAAAACGUUGGUCAUCACCAUAAUGACUCUUUAAUUUCUUAGAGCAAUAAGUUAUAAUCUAAACAUAUAAUCUAAUUCUCAUUAGACUAACUAUAAAAUUAAUUAUUAAAAUACAAAACAUAUUAAUUAUCCCUUCUUUGCUUAACACGUGUUAUUAUUUUAUUUAUUUAAAGAAAAUAAAUUUACGUUUUAAUAUUAUUAUAUUUAUAUUUUAAAUUCAUCAGUUUAGAAAAGAGUGAAAUCAUAACUUUUUGUAAUUUUGUUUCAUUUGAUUUGGUUAAUUUAUUUUAAUUUCAAUAGAAGAUAAUUAUGUUUUAUAUAAAUAUGAGUUUAUUUAUAUUUUUUUAGUGAUUAUUUAUUUUAAAUAUGUUUUUUAUCCUUUAAGUGUAUAAAUUUUAAUAAAUUUUGAAUUUCUAUUUAAAUGUAUAGCUAAAAUAUGUUAAAAUCGUAAACUAAAUUUGUUAAUUAAUAAAAUAAACUAAUAGAUCCUAAUAAAAUUUGAAACAUUUAAUCAUAAAAAAUUGAUUAGCAUUGCUUUAGUUUUGUAUUUGUUAAUGCACACUUACAAUUUAUUUUAGUAGGAAAACAAUAUAUAUUUAUAGAAAUAUGAUUAAUAAUUUAAAAAUUAAAAUGUAAUUAUAUUUAGUUUAUUUUUUUAUAAAUAUGAUAUAUAUAUUUUUAUUAUAUUUUAAUGAUGAUAUAUGAAUUAUUGAUUAUUAAUGUAUUUAAAGUCCUGUCAAAAUAAAAAUUUACACAAAAAUGUUAACUUUUAAAUAGUGAUAUAAAAAUUAUUAGUUACUACCAUAUUUAAAAUUUCUUACUAAAAAUAUAAAUUUAUAAAAAUUAUUAUUUAUUACCAUAUUUAUAAAUAUUUACAGAAAUAUAUUUUUAUAUAAUAAAAUUUUACAUAUCAAAAAAAAAAAUUGAUCUCAUAUCACUAUUUUCUAAAGACAGGUUAUCUUUUUUUUGUGAGAAUGUAUGUUGUGAUGACAUGUACAAACCACUUUGCGAAAAUGUUUAGGGAUAUUAGAUUUUGAAUGAUAAAUAUUUGAUAAAUUUGACCCAAAAAAAGAUUUGAUAACAAUUUGUGUAUCUUCUAUCAUUUUUAUUUAAUUUUAUAUUAUUAAAGUAAAUUAGACAAUCUCAUUAAUCAUAUAAUAAAAUUAGAUUUUUUGUAUAUGAUAUAUUUUGAUUUUUUAAAUGACUAUAAAUUACUUAAAUUGUUAAAAAAUUGUUGUCAUCAGUGGUUUAAUUUUGUUUGUUAUAACAAGAUACAAAUGAUCAAAAAAUGGGUAUGAAGUCUCAAUUAAUAGAACUUUAGAUUAAAAUAUAUAUAUCUAUUUUAAUACUGUUUGAAUUAAACUAUCUAUAUUUUUUUCUGAACAUUUGAAAAGACUAGAGACAUUAUUUCGAGGCUCUAAUCUUAUAACAUGUGUUACUGUUUUCAGAAUUUAUUGUUGAUGAAGAACUAGAAGCCAUGGGUAAGAAAAUGGUCACACAUUGUGGAGGACUACCAUUAGCCGUUAAAGUGUUGGGAGGCUUGUUAGCUAAUAAAAACAUGGUUGAAGAGUGGAAAAGAGUAGAUGAGAAUAUUCAAACUCAGAUAGUUCGCAUAGAUGACAAAAGUCAAGAUUCUGUUUACCGAGUAUUGUCUAUGAGCUAUGAAGAUUUGCCAAUGCAAUUAAAGCAUUGCUUCCUCUACCUAGCUCAUUUUCCCGAAGAUUACAAGAUACAAGUGAAGAGAUUGUAUUAUUACUGGGAAGCAGAAGGAAUAAUAACGUCAAGUGGCGAUGGAGAAACCACUAGGAAAAUUGGAGAAGACUACAUAGACGAGCUAGUAAGGAGAAAUAUGGUUAUUGGAGUAAAAGAGGAAUUGAGUUGCAGUUGGGAGUAUUGUCAAAUGCAUGACAUGAUGAGAGAAGUAUGUUUAUAUAAAGCCAAAGAAGAGAACUUUCUUCAGUUUAUCAAAGUCCCUACUACUUCCACCUCCACCAUCAAUGCUCAUACUCCUACCGGAUCUCGAAGACUCGCAGUACACGGUGGUGGUAAUGCAUUUGAUAUGCUGGGAAGUAAAAACAAUCAAAAAGCUAGAUCUGUUUUGGGGUUUGGACUCGACAGCAACUUGUGGAAGCAGUCAGCUCAAGGACUCAGAAAUUUACAAUUACUUAGGGUCUUAGAUCUGAGUUUAGAUUAUAAAAACGACUCUAAAGGAGGGAGAAUACCUUCGAGCAUUGGAAAACUCAUUCAUUUGAGAUAUUUGAGCUUAGCCAUAGGUUGGGCAACUCAUGUACCUUCUUCUUUACGGAAUCUAAAGCUUCUAAUCUAUUUGAAACUUAAGUCCUACGGAAGUGUUCAUCUGCCAAGUAUCUUUAACGAGAUGGUAGAGUUGAGGUUCCUGCUGCUUCCCUUUUUGGUUGACGAUAAAACAAAGUUGGAAUUGGGUAAUCUAGUGAACCUGGAGUACUUGAGCGGCUUCCGAUCAGAAAACGGUAGCAUCACAGACUUACUCCGAAUGAAAAAGCUCAGGAUUCUCCACAUAAAACUCAAAGGCAGGUAUACUUCUGAAACUCUAGCUUCAUCUCUCUGUGAAUUAAGAAACCUGGAGGAGCUUAGCUUGAUCGAUGAGAAGCUUAGCUUGAUCGAUGAGAAGCUUAGAUUGAUCGAAGAGAACAACGAAUCCGAUGGGGCUUAUGAUGUGGAUUUCGUUUGGAAUUUCAUUCAUCUAAGGCGUUUAGCGCUGGGCAUACAUGUGACAAGGCUUCCUGAUCACUCUCGAUUUCCUCCCAACCUUGCACACAUAUUUCUAAGUGACUGUAAAAUGGAGGAGGAUCCACUGCAGAUUCUGCAAAAGUUGCUUCAUUUAAAGUCGGUUGUAUUACAUCUAAGGUCUUUCGUGGGGAGGAAGAUGGUGUGUUCAAAAGGUGGGUUCCCUCAAUUAUGUAAGCUAGAAAUAUGGAACCUAUACGACUUGGAAGAGUGGAUAGUCGAAGAAGGAUCGAUGCCAUGUCUUCGUACCUUGUCUUUAUGGAAUUGUAAAAAGUUGAAGGAGCUACCGGAAGGGCUCAAGUAUAUCACUUCUUUAAAGGAGCUGGAAAUCACACACGAGAACAAGGAGUGGAAGACGAAACUCGUACCAGGUGGGGGAAGUUACCACAAAGUCCAACACAUUCCCAGUGUUCAAUUACACUAUCGUGGCAACGAAUAAGGAGAAUAAAACCGUCUCAGGUAUAUAUUUUUUUGUGUAUAAUGUCAAAAUUGUUCAUUUUGUUGGGUAUAUAUCCUUCUUGAAGUUUAGUGUGAAAAUCUCAACUAUCUGUUAUUCGGUUUUCAGGUGAACCUACUCAGGAUCAGUACCCACCACUAUCGAUUGUGUGAUAUGAUAAUAAGUCGUUUUUGUUGUAUGAAGUUUACAUAUCUUGUUUGUGAUAUAUUCCGUUUAUCUAUUUGCAUGUUCAUUCACUGUAAUGCUAAGUUUGGAAAUACAUUUGUAUGUUGAACCAUAUCUUAUUCGAUGUUCUCCGUUGUGUGUGCUUAGUUGACUUGUAUAGUUACCGAACCGAACCUGAGUUUUCCAAAUUUGUCUUUUACUACCAAACCGGACAAUAUUGAUGGUUUAAAAACAAAACUCGGUCUGGAUUAUAAUAAAAUCAGAUCAUGAGAGACUACCAAACAAGAGAGUUCUUUCGAUCUCUGCAAAUUUGUUUUUGACUCUAAUUGAGAGGAGAAGAAGUGUACUAGUUGAAGCGAAUCCAAAACGCUGUGAUCCGUGCGUUUUCAGACAUCAAUCGCCAAACGUAUGCAUCAUUGGGUUAGAGCUUCCUCUUCCGAUUUCACCGGAACUCCUCCACAGCCUAGGAGGUAAAUUAAUUACUUCUUCUCCAUUCAAUUUUCGAUUUUAAUUUCAGCUGAUUAUUUUUAUUGUUCAUCAGUGGACAUACAGCUGUCAAUGUCGGAAAAUCCAUGGUCGUGGUGUUCGGCGGUCUCGUCGACAAAAAGUUCCUCAACGACAUCAUUGUUUAUGACAUUGGUAAUAUCAUACUUUAGGUAGAAAGAUGCUUUCUUUCUCACGAGUUACGUUCUUGGCUUGCUCUGCUUGUAAUGACUAUUGUCUCUAGUAGUUUAUUUGAUAGAACGAUGCUUACAUCAAAGAUAGUUACUUUGCCAAAAAAAAAAAAAACUAUAGAAAGCUGAAAACUUCAAGAUGAGAUUAUUCGAUUCAGUGUUGUUGAAGAGGAAUCAGAUGGAUACUCUCUUUUCUUAUUUUGCUAGUUUUGUUUCUGAGCUUCUUUUGUCCCCUCCUUGGCCUUGUUUUAAGUAUCAUAUGUUCAGCUUUUUUAAUCAUGUGAUAAUUGGUGGUCUUAUGAUUUGCUUCUUCUUUAAUCCUGUCGACUAGAAAACAAACUCUGGUUUGAGCCAGAAUGUACUGGCAGCGUUUCUGAAGGAAAAGUUGGCCCUACACCUCGCGCGUUUCAUGUUGCCAUCACUAUUGAUUGCCAUAUGUUCAUCUUUGGUGGACGUUCUGGUGGCAAGAGGUACGCACUUCUAUAUAUUUUCUAGUUAUAAGCGUUUUUACAUAAGAGCUCAUUUCUAUAAAUCAAUUACAGGUUGGGUGACUUCUGGGUUCUAGAUACUGGUAAGUGUGCCUCGGAGUUUUAAUUUCUCUGCUUUGGCACUUCUAUGAGACACCUAUUAAUGACAUUUUCUGCAGAUAUAUGGCAGUGGUCUGAGCUAACCAGCUUUGGCGACUUACCUACGCCUCGUGAUUUUUCUGCUGCCGCUGCUAUUGGCAACCAGAAAAUCGUGUUGUGAGUAUCAUAAAUUUUAGACGUUCCAUCAGGUUGUUGCAUGCAUUGGCUUAGCCUAUGAUCAUUGGCAGGUGUGGCGGCUGGGAUGGUAAAAAAUGGCUGUCAGAUGUGUAUGUUAUGGACACAAGUAAAACUUUAUCUCUCUCCUCUACUUCAGUUUUGUACUAGACUGAUUUUAGUAUCUGAUAAUGUCAGCUUUCUUGGUAUCUGUUAGUGUCCCUUGAAUGGAUGGAGCUGUCGGUUUCGGGGUCGUUGCCACCUCCUAGAUGUGGUCAUACAGCCACCAUGGUUGAGAAACGUUUACUUGUUUUUGGUGGCCGAGGUAUAACACCUUGAACCUAAACUUUGUAGCUUCUUGCUCUUGACUUAUCACCAUUCUCUUAAAAAAGUUAAGGUGUUUGCAUAUUAAACCAACUUGGCGGACUCAUAUGAUAGAUAAAAGUAAAAGACCGAAAAUUUAUUUACUGUUCCACCUUUUCAUUCAUCAAACAUGUUAAGGAUGCUGAUGUGUUUGGUUCCACGAAUUACACAUCCAAAUUCAAUAUAAGUCCAUAAAAUGCAAAUAAAGAAAACAAACAAAUUAGAGGAGGGGGGGAACUUGAGUGAAAUAUGAAUCAAAUAUUAAUAAAUAGCAAUUUAUGCAUCGUUGUAAGUUAAUAACUUCCAGUCAUUAAUGAAUUGUCCUGAACGGGAUGGUAUAUGUAAUGUAGAAACCCUCUUCCAAUCUUAAGGAUUCAUACUUUUAAGCAAAUCCACUAGUUUGAUAGUUCUUUGGUUCUGACAUCUGAGGUAUAGGUCAUGAUCACAAUUAUUUUUUGCUUGAUCUGAUAACAACUAAGCUAAAACUAUGGUGUGUGAUAUGUUUAUCUUUGACAGGAGGCGGUGGCCCUAUCAUGGGUGAUCUGUGGGCUUUGAAGGGUUUAAUAGAUGAAGGUACAUCCUUAAUUAAAUUACUUCAAAAUUGCAUUAUAUGUAAUGUUCUGGUUGCUGAUCUUAUUGUGGUUAACCUUUGUUGUGGAAGAAAGAACGUGAAACACCUGGAUGGACGCAACUAAAGCUUCCUGGCCAAGCAUCAUCAGCUCGAUGUGGUCACACUGUCACAUCCGGAGGACAUUAUGUAUGUCUUUUUCAGCUCCUGUUUGUUCUUUUGUGUAAGGAUAGCUUCGCAUGACAUACAUCACUCACAUCAUUAAUUUUCAUGUAUGCAGCUUCUGUUAUUUGGGGGACAUGGAACUGGUGGAUGGCUGAGUCGUUAUGAUGUCUAUUAUAAUGACACUAUAAUUUUAGACAGAGGUAAAUUCUUGCUUAUGAGAUUCGUCUCCUCUGCUAAAGGAGCACUCUAAAUCCAAAAAUCCACCUCAGUAAUUUACAAUCUAGUGAGAUGAUAAAAUUGUGAUGUGCUUUAUCAUUUUUCUUGCUGAGCAUUGCUGUCUACGCGUUGUUGCUAAAUUUAUAUUUUCACAUACUAGUAACUGCACAGUGGAAGCGCUUACCAAUAAACAAUGAUGAACCUCCUCCUCCUCGAGCUUACCAUACCAUGACAAGUAUUGGAGCUCGUCAUCUUUUAAUUGGUGGUUUUGAUGGAAAAUCAACCUUCGGUGAUCUUUGGUGGCUAGUUCCUGAAGGUAUCUUACUCUUAUUUGUACUGAAUGUUUCUUAUCGUUGGAAAGUCUUUAGACGAACUAAUCUUGGUGUUGAUCACAGUUUGUAUUAAAAGUUUUGAAGGUUUACACAUCUGAUUGAAUUUAGUAUACUGUUUAGCCUUCUAAAAAUUAAAGAGAAAAAUGGACGUGGAACUCUAGAUAGGGAUCUCACUCAAUACUUGUGGGCUUCAAAUACCCGAGGAGUCAGAAGAUGAAGAGUUCGUUGAGUUAGGAACCAGAUUGAUUGAAGGAGAUGUAAUUGAUAAUCGAGCCUCCAUGAUGCAGGUUAAUUUUUCCUCUUGUCUUUUUCAGGAUGUGUGAUUGUGUUAUUCUUGUACUGAAAAUGCUUCUCAACGAAUAGAUGGCAGCUGAAGCACUUCGUCAACAUUGGAAAGAGUCCACUCCUGAGACUUUGCAGUUAAAAGAGCUUAAUGCCUUGCUUCGAGAUUAUCAGCGACUUGUUUCCCGAAAAUACACGUGAGUUCUUACAUUAUCUUGUUUAUGUAGAUUAUCUUUUAUUUCAAUAAAAAUGGUUGUUCUUUGAUUGCGCUUGGAAUGGCAUUAGAAUAACUUAGAUAAAUCUCCUGAGAGUUUAGGAGUGUUAUAUAGAGUUAAUAUCAAUAUCAUUUUUUGUGUCUUGAAUAGCCCUUGAGACUUUUUAAUCCAAGAAUUGCCAAAACUGAUUCAUUUCUUAAUGUUGUGCAGUCCUCACAUAAAAGUUGAUUGUAAAUGCAUCGCUUUGUACCCCUUUGAAAAGUAUUAAACAUCAUGAAAUUUCACAUUUGAUUCUUCCUUUCCGUCACACAUGUUUGUUUUCGUUGUUGUGGCGUGAGUCUCAGAGCACAGAGCAGCUUAACAUCUACUGAUUUUGGCCUCCCCGGAAAGCAGACGUUUACGUUUUAUCAUAUCAAAACUUCUUCCGAGGUAAUACCACAUACUUUCCUCCUGUUAUGAGCUCUCUUGAACAUUUGACAGCAAUCAAUCAACACAUCAGGCUCUUGGCACAUGCUCUGACAUGUCAAUUUAACAUUUUGUUAUUCUCAGUUACGGAUGGAUGACAUCCCGAAGUUGCUGGAAGAAUACAAAACCCUUGUAAUCUGAUUGAGGAGCUCUGCCAUGAAACUCACAAGGAGAAUACAAAACUCAUGAAGUAGCUGCCAAGAAGAUCACCAAUAUUGCUAUCAGCACUACCAUUGCAAACAACAAAACUAAAAAAAGUCUCAACAGAAUCAUAUAUCUGAUAGACAACAAGACAUGUACAACUUCUUUUUAGUCAAGAACAAAAACAUGUACCCAUAUGUAAGAUUUUCCAUUAUCUCCACUUAAUCCGUAUCUCAGCGUCUGCUCUUUUUUUUUCUUGUUUAGCCUCUUGCAUUUUACUUUGAAAAUAGAUUGAUUUGCCUUGAAGCUAAUGUUCGAACCCCGAUCCAUCUUUGAGCAACUGUUUUAGUUCCGUGUCUAGGAGACCAGUGUUCUGCACUAUCGCAUCUUGGUCUCCUACUUGAGAUGUGAUGCUUCCAUACAAUGUCCAGCCACUGGCGUUGCCUAGUAAUUAAUAUCAUCUCCACCAUAUCACUAUUUGCUGCAUCCCCUCCUCCAUAAGAAACAUAAAACAUAAAAGUUAGGUAGCUCUAAAACAUUUCUGAUCAUAACAAAAAGUAAGAUCUAAACCACACUUGAUGAUUACGUAAGUUGGUUCGUAAUUUUUACCAAUCUUUGGUAUGAGGAACUGGAGAAAAGAUUCCAAAUAGACUGAGGAAGAAAGACAUGCAGAUUCCGGAGAUUUGAUAGGUUGGUGUCAAGGCCACAAAGCAUCAAGCUUUGUUAACAUGUAGUAGUAGUAGAACCAGAAGAACUUGACCACAGUACGGCCGUAUCCUAUCAUUGAGUAAAGGAUUAUAGUAUGUAAACUCUAGUUUGUAUGGUGUCAUACUACAUGAUCUAAUAACUUUGUCUAUAUUACCAAUUUUCCCAAUUAAUUAUUUCUAACGAAAAUAUAAUGUAAAUAUCAAUGAAUAUAUUUUGAAAGUUGAAAAUGAGGAAGAAAAUUUUUUUUACCAAAAAGAAUAAUAAGGGAGAAGUAUAGUGAAUGUUUCGAGUGGGGCCUAAAGCAAAUGCAUUAUUGCCUUGCGAAAAAAUCAUUAUCGCCAGAGACUAGAAAAAAACUCCUAUUUUCUUUUCUAAUUCAAAAUUAGAACCACAAGAUGACUGUCAUAGACUGUCGAUACUCUUUCAUUAUUUCUUCUUCCAAAGAACGUCGCUAAGCAAGUUGCAGAUCUGUUACAUGUAAGGUAAAUCACGUUCUUGUAUCAUUAUUUGUCUGUUUAACUUGCUCUGAAUCUGAAUUUAAAAACAAAAAUUCGUUGCAUUGUUACAAAUCUUGUUUUACGAAUUUAAAGCAUUUAAUCAUCAAUGCUUGAAUAAAAGUAAGUUAAGUAAAGUUCCUCUGACAGGUAUCAUGUUUUAUUAGAUCAACCAAGGAUUAUCAUAACCGGUUUUAAAUCUUACUAUACAAGUUUGUACUCAUAUGUUGACGGUGGAACAGGAGAAUAGCGAUGGCUGAGGGAAUUGUAUCGUUUGGAGUGCAGAGACUCUGGGAGCUCUUGGCUCGAGAAUCUGAGAGACUGCAGGGAGUUCAUGAGAAAGUUGAUGAUCUAAAAUGUCAGAUGAGAAUGUUACAGUCGUUGUUGAAAGAUGCAGAUGCCAAGAAACAUGGGAGUGAAGUAGUGAGAAACUUCUUGGAAGAUGUCAAAGACAUUGUUUUUGAUGCUGAAGAUAUAAUUGAAUCCUUUCUUUUGAAAGAAUUGAGUGGAAACCAAAAAGGGAUCAAGAGGCAUCUGAAAAGACUUUCUUGUUUCUUAGUGGAUCGCCGAAAUAUUUCUAUGGACAUUGAAGGCAUAACUAAGAGAAUGUCCAAGCUUGUCGAGCAAAUGCAGAGCUUUGGAAUACAACAGAUCGUCUACAGAUCACCGUCUCUACAAGAGAGACAGAGGGAAAUCCAACAAACAUAUCCUGAGAAAUCUCAAAAGGAUCUUGUGGCCGUGGAACAGAGUGUUAAGGAACUGGUUGGUCAGUUGGUGGAGAAUGAUCGCAUCCAAGUAGUUUCCAUAUCCGGGAUGGGUGGUAUUGGAAAAACCACUCUUGCGAGACAAGUCUUUCAUCAUGACAUUGUUCGAAGUCAUUUUGAUGGAUUCGCAUGGGUCUGCGUUUCUCAAUAUUUUAAGAAGAAGGAUAUUUGGCAAAAGUUAUUGCAAGAGCUUAGACCACAUGAUACGAGCAUCGCACAAAUGAGUGAGGGUACACUCCAUGCUGAGAUCUUUCACUUGUUGGAAAGAUCUAAAUACUUAAUUGUCAUGGAUGAUGUAUGGAAAAACGAAGACUGGGAUGUAAUAAAACAUGUUUUUCCCCAAGAAAGAGGUGAGCUCUCUAAUUGUACAUACAUUACUUAAGUACUCCCCAUAGCUAUUUCAUAAAUGCCUUUUGAAAUACAAUUGCAGGUUGGAAGAUGAUUCUUACUUCACGCGAUGAAGGUGUUGGUUUCCAUGCAGAUCCAACAUGUUUUCCCUUUAGACCAAAAAUCCUUACUCCUGAAGAAAGUUGGAUGCUAUGUGAGAGCAUAGCAUUCCCUAGAAGAGAGAUAACGGGUACGUCCAUUUGUCCAUGUUUAUAACCGAGUCCAUUAAAGACCCUUUUUGUGUGUGGACAAACAUUGAUCAUGUUAUUAAGAACCGAGUCCAUUAAAGACCAAACCUAUUAACAUCAGUGUUAACAUGACUUAUCCAUGGAAUCCAUUAGAGACCAUAUAAGUAAACCUACUACAAAAGACAAACCUACAAUAUAUAAGUUCUGAAUUUCAAAUCUAUUAAAGACCACAGCUUCAUAAGUAGGAUACAUAACAUAAAAAAUACUUGUAAAUUCACAUAUUGUAGUUUUAGUUUUAAUUUUAAUUUACGUAUUAAUGUUAACUAGAUUUUUGACAAAAAUUAUAACUUUAUACAUAUUUCAUAUGUUUUUAAGUUUUGUGCAUAAUUUAUAUUUAAUUUGUGUAUCUAAUUUAUUUUUAUGUUAGUAACUAACAUCUAAUAUAAGAUGAACUUAUAAUAUUUUAUUUUAAUGUACAUUAAUUUAUAAUCAUUUACAUUUUACAGAAUUACAUACAUUCAUAUAUAGAGUUUAUUAGUUUUUUUUUAUAAAAAUUAUAUGAAUACUAUUAUAUGAUAAUGAAAAUAUAAUUAUCUGUUUAUUUUUCCCAAGUUUUAAUUUAUGUUUCUAUAAUUUAACACUAAAACGAAGUAAUCACAUAUAUCAUAUUAGUUAAAAUUUGUUUAAUAUUCUUAUAAUACUUUAUGAUUUUAUAUGUAUGUUACAACAAAAAAAUGAUUUUAUAUGUUUACUCAACCAUCUCAUACUAAAUAACCUUUGUAUAUUGAUAAAAUAAUCCGUAAAAAUUACACAUAAAUAUAUGAACCAUAACCCAAUAUUUAUAUAAGUAGGUUUAGUGCUGGUUUUUAGAAUUAACGCAGAAUAUUCUUUAUAGAUUUCAAUCGUGUAAAAUUACGAAAUUUAGAAUAUUUUGAGGAUGCCAGAAUUAUCAAAAUUUAAAAUAUUAAGAUUGAUAUCAUUGAUGUCAAAAAUAUACCAUUUAGCUAGGUCUAAAUUUUUUAUAAGAAAUUGCAUUCAAAGUUUUUGUUUUCAAACGUAAAUAUCUAAGUUUUGAAAUAUUUAAGUCAUUUUCAUUUGAAUGAGUAAAUUUUGACCUACUAAGAUUUAUAAAUGUGAUUUUCUAGAUUGUAAGUUAUUUAGUAAAUAUUAAAAAUACAAAAAAUAUAUUCUCAAAACUGUUAAAGUUUUGUUAUGCUUCCAUAAUUUCAGCUUAUCAAAUAUCUAAUCUAUUAAAAGAAAAGUACCAUUUUUAUCUACUACAAAAUUGUCAUACUAGAAGUCUAGUUCCAUAUAUUUUAUUGUUUACUUAAUGUAUAACAUUUCUAAAUAAUUAUAAGGAUAUUAAUAACAAAUCUAUUUUAACUAUAAAUUUAAAUUUUAGUUUUAGGAAUAACAAAAUCUGUAGAGAAAAAAUCUAACAAAAUCUUUUUAAAAUUUUAAAUAUUAUUUUAAUUAAUGCACUGAUUAAUUUCGUAAUUAGUAGUAUAAUAUUAUUAUAAAUUAAUUUUAAUCAAAAUUUUAUUAUAAACAAAAUAAUGAAAUUAUAUGCUAAUUUUAUAAUUUUUAUUAGUAUAUUCUACAUUAUAUUAAAAUAGAAUUAAUUAAUGAAUUACAUAUUAACAUUAUGUUUUUGUACAAACAUAUUAAAAUUAUGUUGAAUUGGUAAACCAAUAUAUUUUGAAAAAUACUUUCAUUAGAUAAAUAAAUAAAAUGUCAUUCACGCUUAAAGUGACUAAAAUAUCAUUCACAUUUUAAAAUGAUUAAUAUUUAUAAAUUAUGUAAUAAUUUUUACAAAAAUUAAAAUUGUUAACAUAUGUUAAAUUUUAAUAUUUAGAACUAUAUAUCAUCUAUUAAGUUAUUUUUAAAAUGACAGCAAUAUAUUAUCAUAAAUGAUUAUAUACAAAAUAAUAUAAAAUUUUAUAUUUAUAAAUGAAAUGUUACCCACACGGGUGUGCGGGUUACAAUCUAGUUUGAAUUAUAGCAAAUAACUAUGUAUAUGAACAAUACCAAUAAAUUUGAAUGUUAUAAAUUAAAAUAGGUUUGCUAGUAGGCAAUUGAGAAUUUGAACAAAUUCCAUAUUUAUACUAAAAUCUUUUAUGUAGUUUGGAAAAUCAUAAUAAUACUAAAUAUAAUAGUCUUCUGAAUGAUUUAUCAAGUAUAUUCAAUAUUAUAUACUACAAAUAUGUAUAGUUUUACAUCAUGUAUUUUAUAAUUUUAGAAUAAUAUAAAUAUUCUUCUUUGUUAAGUUAGAUGAAUCAUGGGAGGAUGUUUAGCAAUUAAGUAGGAAACUAGAUUAAGAUCCACGCAAAUGAAUAUUAUAUAUAAAAAUAAAUUUUAUUUAUUAUUAUUUAUUUGUAUUCAUUUAUGUAUUAUGUACAUAAUUAAAUUAGAGUAAAUACAUAAAUCAAAACAUUACAUCUUGUUUAUUUACGAUAUUUUUUGGUAAAUAAAUCAAAACAAUUAUAUUCAUACGAUUUAUGAUCAUUUAUAUCUUGUUAUUACCAAAACAAGUUAAACCAUUAAUUACAAAAUUUUAGUGUAAGACAUUUAAUAUUUUUAGUAAUUUAUAGUCGUUUUAAAAAUUCAAAAUAUAACAUAUAAAAAACAUUUUAUUAUAUGGUUGAUGUGGUUGUUUAAUAUAUUUUAAUAAUAUAAAAUUAAACCAAAAAAAGCUAAGAUACAAAAAUUACUAUCAAAUAUUUAUAUUCAUAAUCAUUAAUUAUCAAUUUAAAAGUUAGUUUAAUAAAAAAUAUAAUAUAAAUUAAGAUGGACCGACCUAUUUCUCUAAGAAUUCUGAAUUUCAUUCUUAUGGUGACACGUGGCUACAAAACAAUGUUGUAAUGUUUCUCAAUUAAUAUAUAAGGGAUAUAGUUAAAAUAUUUCUUUUAAUAAAUUUAUUUUAAAAAAAAUAGCUAGUGGCAUGGUAUUGUAAUUAUCAUUGAAAACUAAAGGCAUAAUCUUAUUAGAAAUUCCGGUUUAAUAGUAUAAAUUUCAGUUUUAAGUUUAAUUUCCAUUAUUUUUAACUUGCCAAGGAACCCACGCGAUAACGCGUGGAAACUUAUUUUUAUAAAUAAAUAUAUGAUAUUAUAAUUUAUAUAUUGUAUAAAAAAUAAUUUUAUUAAAAGGAUUCCCAUGUCAAAACGUAGAACAUAUGUGUUUAUAUUUACUUAUUGAUAAUAUUAAAAAUGUAUAUUCUAUAAUUUUAAAUUACAACUAAAAUACAAAUAUAUCAAUCCUAAUAAAAUUAUACAUUUUUUUAUUAUUUUAGGUAAGUUACUCUAAAAUUUUAAAUUAUAUCAAUUUAUAAUAAAUAAAUAAAAUCUCUUUUUAAACAAAAAAAAUCUUUUCAAAUAAAAAAUGUAUCUUUUACGUUAGACGGUUGUGUUAUCAACGAAAAGUACGAACGACUCAUAACCUAAAAGGUACAAACACGUCUUAAACUAAGUGAUACAAACAUGAUGUGAUUCAAGAAGUAUGAACUUGGUCCAUGGGGUGGACGAAUGUACCUUGACCGAAGGUAUGAAUGUGUCAUUACCAAAAAGUGUAAAUGGUGUGAACGAAAUGGUGUAAAUUGAAAUUGAGAUCCAUAAGACAAAAAUUUUGGGCAUGGGUAAAAACAUGCAAAAUCUAAGAAAUAUUAAGAAAAUGAUAAACUCUAAUUUGGAUAGACUAUUUAUGUUGUCGAGAAAAGGUCAUACUCUUAUAUCAUCAGCACCAUGGUUGACCAUAAGACAAAAUAGUUUCCGGAUGGGUAAAAACAGGUAAAAUCUAAGAAAUAUUAAAAAAAAAGAUAUAUUAUAAUCUGGAUAGACUUUUUAUGUUGUCGAGAAAAGGUCAUACUCUAUAUCACCAGCACCAUGGUUGACCUUUAACAUUCUUUCAGUGAUGUCUCGUUCGCACUUUUUCAGUCACGAUCCAUUCUUACCUCUUCGGUCAUGAUUCAUUGACACUCCUUUGGAUACGACUCGUUUGCACCCUUUCAUUCACGAUCCAUUCACGUUCUUUCAGUUACGAUCCGUUCACACUCAUACGGUUAUGAUCCGUUUACUCCUUUUGGUCAUGACACGUUUGCACUUUUUUGUCACAACCCAUUUGCAAUCUUUCGGUCACGACCAUUUGCACCCUUUGGUCACAACCCGUUUGCAAUUUUUUGGCCACGAUUCAUUUGCAAUCUUUCGGUCACGACCAUUUGCAAUCUUUCAAACACGACCAUUUGCACCCUUUCGAUCAUAACCCAUUUGCACGUUUUCGGUCAUAACUCAUUUGCAUGCUUUCGGUCAUAACCCAUUUGUACCCUUUUUGUCAUGGUCAAGAUCCAUUCGCAUCCUUUCGGUCAUGAUUAAUUUCACAUCCUUUCGGUCAAGAACCGUUCGCACGCUUUCAUUUAUGACAGUUCAGAGAGUUUCGGUCACGGUCCUUUUGUACAUUUUCGGUCAUAAUACAUUCACACAUUUUCAGUCACAACACUUUCGCACCCCUUGGAUCAUGAUACAUUUGUAUCUCUUGGAUCAUAGCAUGUUCAUACCUCUUAGAUUAUGAUCCGUUCAUAUCUCUUAAAUUACAAAACAUUUAUACCUCUCUGUUGAUGACACUAUAUAAAUAUUUAUAAUUUUUAAUCAGUGUUAAUAUGAAAGUAAACUUAUAUGGAAUUGUUUUGCAUUUAUUAGUAUUGAGAUGAAAAUUUAUGUGUUUGUUUUUGGUUUUUACUUUACUCAUAUCUAUAUAUUAAUACUUCAUAAAUAUUAGUAUUUGUUUUAAAUAGACUUUUUAUGUUGGCCAAAAAAGAUCAUAUUAUUAUAUCACCAACAUCAUGGUUGACCUUUAGCAAUCUCUUGGUGAUGACUCGUUCGCACCAUUUAAGUCAAGACCCAUUCACACUCUUUCGGUAACAAAUCGUUCACACCCUUUUUUUGUCAUGACCCGUUUACACUUUUUCGGUCACAACCCAUUCGCAAUCUUUCGAUCACGACCAUUUGCACCCUUUGAUCACGACCUGUUUGCAAUUUUUCGGUCACAAUCCAUUUGUAACCUUUCGGUCACGAUCAUUUGCACCCUUUCGGUCAUAACCCAUUUGCACCAUUUUGGUCAUAGUCAAGAUCUGUUCUCACCCUUUCAGUCAAGAUUAAUUUCACAUCCUUUCGGUCUAGAUCCAUUCACACUUUUUCAUUUAUGAUCAUUGGCAGCCUUUCGGUUACGACCAUUUUGUAUAUUUUCGGUCAAAAAACAUUCACAUCCUUUCAGUUACAAAACGUUCAUACUCCUUGGAUCAUGAUAUGUUUGUACCUCUUGGAUCACAACACGUUAUACCUCUUAGAUUAUGAUGCGUUCAUAUCCUUAAAUCACAACACAUUUGUACCUCUUCGUUGAUGACACCACGUAAAUAUUUAUCAUUUUUUUAAUCAUUGUUAAUAUGAAAAUUGUGUCUCUUAAGUUUUUUUAUGAAAAGUUAUUUUUAUUAGUAAUGAAAUGAAAAUUUAUGUCUUUUUGUUUUUACUUUAUUCAUAUAUAUGAAUAGUCACAUCUUUCUAUAUAAAGGUGGUUAUUUUGAAAUGAUACUUAUAUGAAUAGUCACAACUUUUCAAUUUAAAUAGUCACAUCUUUUCAAAUUUAAAUGUAAUUAUUUUGAAAUUAUAGAAAUAUGAAUAGUCAAAACUUUUCAUUUAAAUAAUUACAUAUUUUACAAUUAAAUUCUGACUAAUGCACAACUCUUGAAACAAAUAACGAAAAGACACAACUUUAACAAGAAAUAAAAUUCCUAUAAAUAUACACAACUUUUCAACAUUGUUUGAGUUUUUCAUGUAAGACAUUUAAGAGAUGCAACUUUUAUGUAUAAAACUUAAGAGAUUCCAAUUUUCAUAUUAAUCAAUACACUGAUUUUUAGAAAUAAAACAAUUGCAAAUAUUUAUAAAAUAUUAAUAAACAGAUAUGAGAAAAAUAAAAACGAAAAAACAUAAUUUUCAUCUGAAUACUAAUAAAUACAACUUUUCAUAUAAAAAAUUAAGAGAUGCAACUUUCAUAUAGAUGAAUAGUCACAUUUUUUCCCAGUUUAAAGGUGGUUAUUUUGAAAUAAUACUUAUAUGAAUAGUCACAACUUUUCAAUUUAAAUAGUCACAUCUUUUCAAUUUAAAGGUAGUUAUUUUGAAAUGAUACAUAUAUGAAUAGUCACAAUUUUCAUGUAAAUAAUUAUAUCUUUUUAAUUUAAAUACUAACUAAUAUACAACUCUUGAAACGAAAUGACAUUUCUUAAUAUAUAAUGAAAAGACACAACUUUUAACAAGAAAUAAGAUUCAUAUAAAACACACAACUUUUCAACAUUGUUUGGGUUUGCUAUUAUUAAUUGUUUUUCUUCUUCACCAUUUUAUUUGAUUAGUGAAAAUUAUGCUUUGAGAAGACAUGGACAUUGGACUAUUUAUAGAUUUUUAAAAUUUUGUUUGAAGAGUCACAUCUUUUAAAUUAAAAGUUUGUGUCUUUUUGUAAUAAUACUUAUAUGAAGAGUCACAAAUUUUCAAUAUAAAUUGUCACACUCUUUCAAUAUAAAUAGUUAUUUUUAAAUAAAAAGACACAACUUUUAAUUGUUGAAAAGACACAUACUUUUAACAUAAGUGGAAUUCACAACCUUUUGAAUUAAUUGAGAUUGUUAUUAUUAGUAGAUUUUUAUAUAAACUAUAUAUAUAUAGAUAUUAUUUUUUAUUUGAACAUUUGAAAAGACUAGACAAAUUAAUUCUAGGCCAAUCUUACAAUGUGUUACUGUGUUUCAGAAUUUAAUGUUGAUGAAGAACUAGAAGCCAUGGGUAAGAAAAUGGUCACAUAUUGUGGAGGACUACCAUUAGCCGUUAAAGUGCUGGGAGGCUUGUUAGCUAAUAAAACCAUGGUUGAAGAGUGGAAAAGAGUAGAUGACAAUAUUCAAAGUCAGAUAGUUCGCAUAGAUGACAAAAGUCAAGAUUCUGUUUACCGAGUAUUGUCUAUGAGCUAUGAAGAUUUGCCAAUGCAGUUAAAGCAUUGUUUCCUCUACCUAGCUCAUUUUCCCGAAGAUGACAAGAUACAAGUGGAGAGAUUGUAUUAUUACUGGGAAGCAGAAGGAAUAAUAACGUCAAGUUGCGAUGGAGCAACCACUAGGAAAAUUGGAGAAGAAUACAUAGACGAGCUAGUAAGGAGAAAUAUGGUUAUUGGAGUAAAAGAGGAUUUGAGUUGCAAAUGGGAGUAUUGUCAAAUGCAUGACAUGAUGAGAGAAGUAUGUUUAUAUAAAGCCAAAGAAGAGAACUUUCUUCAGUUUAUCAAAGUCCCUACUACUUCCACCUCCACCAUCAAUGCUCAUACUCCUACCAGAUCUCGCAGACUCGUAGUACACGGUGGUGGUAAUGCAUUUGAUAUGCUGGGACGUAAAAACAAUCAAAAAGCUAGAUCUUUUUUGGGGUUUGGACUCGACAGCAACUUUUGGAAGCAGUCAGGUCAAGGAUUCCAAAAUUUACUGUUACUUAGGGUCUUAGAUUUGAGUUUAGAUUAUAAAAUAGACUCUAAAGGGUGGAGAAUACCUUCGAGCAUUGGAAAACUCAUUCAUUUGAGAUAUUUGAGCUUACAAAUGGGUUGGGCAACUCAUGUACCUUCUUCUUUACGGAAUCUAAAGCUUCUAAUCUAUUUGAGUAUUUACUCCCGGGAAAGAGUUCAUCUGCCAAGUAUCUUUAAAGAGAUGGUACAGUUGAGGUUCCUGCUGCUUCCCCCUUUUGUUGACGCUAAAACAAAGUUGGAAUUGGGUAAUCUAGUGAACCUGGAGUACUUGGGCUGGUUCCGAUCAGAAUACGGUAGCAUCACUGACUUCCUCCGAAUGAAAAAGCUCAGGACUCUCGAGAUAUUUCUCAAAGGCAGGUAUACUUCUGAAAUUCUAGCGUCAUCUCUCGGUGAAUUAACAAACCUGGAGGAGUUUAGAUUGAUCGAUGAGAACAACGAAUCCGAUGGGGCUUAUGAUUUGGAUUUCGUUUGUAAUUUCAUUAAGCUAAGGCAUUUAGUGAUAUGGAUGCAUAUGACAAGGCUUCCUGAUCACUCUCGAUUGCCUCCCAACCUUGCACACAUAUCUCUAACUAACUGUGAAAUGGAGGAGGAUCCACUGCAGAUUCUGGAAAAGUUGCUUCAUUUAAAGUCGGUUGAAUUAUCAAGUAAUGCUUUCGUGGGGAGGAAGAUGGUGUGUUCAAAAGGUGGAUUCCCUCAAUUAUCUAAGCUUGAAAUGUCGUACCUAGACGACUUGGAAGAGUGGAUAGUGGAAGAAGGGUCGAUGCCAUGUCUUCGUACCUUGUCUAUAUGGUAUUGUGAAAAGUUGAAGGAGCUACCGGAAGGGCUCAAGUAUAUCACUUCUUUAAAGGAACUGGAAAUCAUACAUAAGAAGAAGGAGUGGGAGACGAAACUCGUACCAGGUGGGGAAAGUUACCACAAAGUCCAACACAUUCCCAGUGUUCAAUUAGACUAUCGUGGCGACGAAUAAGGAGAAUACAACCGUCUCAGGUAUAUAUACUUUUGUUUGGUAUAAUGUCAAUAUUGUUCUCCAUGAAGUUUAGUGUGGAAGUCUCAACUAUCUAACCUUUUUAUUAUUCGGUUUUCAGGUGAACCUACUCAGAAUCAGUACCCACUUAUUGAUUCUGUGAUGUGAUAUAUGUCGUUUUUGUUGUAUUGGUGUGUGAAGUUUACAUAUCUUGUUUGUGAUAUAUUUCGUUUAUCUGUUUGCAUGCUCAUUCACUGUAAUGCUAAGUUUGGAAAUACAUUUGUAUAUCUUCUUCGAUUUCUCCGUUGUGUGUGCCUAGUUGACUUGUAUGGUCGGAAUUUGAGAUAGAACGGUGCUUUGAUAGUGAUCACUGAACAUCAUUCUUAACAUGAUUUUAUCAUUUGGUUUAAGGAAUGUCAAGAGCUUUUAAAUGAAACAUCUAGUUAAUCCGUUUUAACAGAUAUAGAACCUUGGAGUUUAUUGAAACCAAAGUCAAGAGUUUCUCACCACAAUGGGACUCUCCUCACAGUUGAUAUCAAUGGCGCAAUCAAAUCAUAUAUACAACACCUUAGAGGAUUCAAGAAAGUCUCUUGGUUCCAUUCCUUCGCGUCCUGGUUCGCUUUUUUCACUAUUCAAGUGAUCAGCACUUUUGAUUGAAAACUGAUACCACACAGCAUCCACUUGAAACUAAACAUAAAUAUACAACCAAACAGUUACGCAAUGAUAGCUCAACCAGACAGAACCGAACCGAAUCUUAGUUUUGCUUUCCAAAUUUUAAAUAACGGGAUAAACCGGUUGAUUCUCAUCCAGUUCUGUAAUUUGUCUGACACUACUCAAGUGAUCAGCACUUUUGAUUGAAAACUAAUAACACACAGCACCCACUUGAAAGUUGAAACUAAACGCAACUCAAUGAUAAACCGGGAUAAACCGGUUAGUUCUCAUCGAGUUCUGUAAUUUGUCUUUUACUAUCAAACCGGACAAAUUGAUGGUUUAAAAACAAAACUCAGUCUGGAUUAUAAUAAAAUCAGAUCAUGAAACUCUACCAAACAAGAGUCCUUUCGGUCUCUGCAAAUUUGUUUUCGACUCUAAUUGAGAGGAGGAGAAGUCCAGUACUUGAAACGAAUCCAAAAACGCGGUGAUCCGUGCGUUUUCAGACACCAUCGCGACCGUAUGCAUAACUGGGUUAGAGCUUCCUCAUCCGAUUUCACCGGAACUCCUCCACAGCCCAGGAGGUAAAUUAAUUACUUCUUCUCCAUUCAAUUUCCGAUUUUAAUUUCAGCUGAUGAUUUUUAUUCUUCAUCAGUGGACAUACAGCUGUCAAUGUCGGAAAAUCCAUGGUCGUGGUGUUCGGCGGCCUCGUCGACAAGAAGUUCCUCAACGACAUCAUUGUUUAUGACAUUGGUAAUAUUAUACUUCAGCCUAUGAUUAUUGAUUCCUUGAUCCAAAGAAAUGCUUUUUUUUUUUAAUUUCUCUUGAGUUACUGUCUUGGCUUGCUUUGUUUAUAAUGAAAGACUAGUGUUUCUGGUAGUUUAUUUGUCUGUUAAGCUUAGUUAGGCUGAUGCUUCCAUCAAAGAUAGUUACUUUGGAAAAAUUAUAGAAAACUGAAAACUUCACAAUGAAAUUAUUCGAUUCGGUGUUAGUUUUGUUGCUUAGCAUCUUUUGUCCCCUCCUUGGCAUUGUUUUAAUUAUCAUAUGGUCAGCUUUUUUAAUCAUGUGAGAAUCGGUUUGUCUUAUGAUUCGGUCGACUAGAGAACAAACUCUGGUUUGAGCCAGAAUGUACCGGCAGCGUGUCUGAAGGAAAAGUUGGUCCUACACCUCGCGCGUUUCAUAUUGCCAUCACUAUUGAUUGUCAUAUGUUCAUCUUUGGUGGACGUUCUGGUGGCAAGAGGUACUCACUACUAUUUAUUUUCUAGUUAUAAGCGUUUUUGCAUUCUUUUUUCAGUAACUUCUAUAAAUCAAUUUCAGGUUGGGUGACUUCUGGGUUCUAGAUACAGGUAAGUGUACAAUCAUAACAAUGUCACUGAGACCUGCCUGGAACUUUUUAAUACCCUGCUGCUGACAUUUUCUGCAGAUAUAUGGCAGUGGUCUGAGCUAACCAGCUUUGGCGACUUACCUACGCCUCGUGAUUUUUCUGCCGCCGCUGCUAUUGGGAACCAGAAAAUUGUGUUGUGAGUAUUCAGAAAUUUUAGACGUUCAUCAGCUUGUUGCAUGCAUUGGCGUAACCUAUGAUCAUUGGCAGGUGUGGCGGCUGGGAUGGUAAAAAAUGGCUGUCAGAUGUGUAUGUUAUGGACACAAGUAUAUCUCGCCUCUACUUCAGUUUUGUAAUAAAACUGUUUUUAAGUUUAUGAUAAUGUCAGCUUUCUUGGUGUCUGUUAGUGUCUCUUGAAUGGAUGGAGCUGUCGGUUUCGGGGUCGUUGCCGCCUCCUAGAUGUGGCCAUACAGCCACCAUGGUUGAGAAACGUUUACUUGUUUUUGGUGGCCGAGGUAUAACACCAGAACCAGAAUCUUUGUUCUGCUUGAGCUGAUGACAACUAAACUGAGACUAUGGUUAUCUUUGACAGGAGGUGGUGGCCCUAUCAUGGGUGAUCUGUGGGCUUUGAAGGGUCUAAUAGAUGAAGGUUCAUCCUUACCUAAAUUACUUAAAAAUUGCAUUGAAUUAUGUAGAGGAGUAUUCUCUUGAGUUGUCUUUCUUUCUUUUGUUCUGUUUGCUGAUCUUAUUGUGGGGUUUACCUUUGCUGUGGAAGAAAGAACGUGAAACACCUGGAUGGACCCAACUAAAGCUUCCUGGCCAAGCACCAUCAGCUCGAUGUGGUCACACUGUCACAUCCGGAGGACAUUAUGUAUGUCUUUUUCAGCUUCCGUUUGCUCUUUUGUAUAAAUAGGUUCGCAUGACAUACAUCACUCACAUCAUUAAUGUUCAUGUAUGAAGCUUCUGUUAUUUGGGGGACAUGGAACUGGUGGAUGGCUGAGUCGUUAUGAUGUAUAUUAUAAUGACACUAUAAUUUUAGACAGAGGUAAAUUCUUGCUUAUGAGAUUCGUCUCCUCUGCUAAAGGAGCACUCUAAAUCCAAAAAUCCACCUCAGUAAUUUACAAUCUAGUGAGAUGAUAAAAUUGUGAUGUGCUUUAUCAUUUUUCUUGCUGAGCAUUGUUUUCUACGCGUUGUUGCUAAAUUUAUAUUUUCACAUACUAGUAACUGCACAGUGGAAGCGCUUACCAAUAAGCAAUGAUGAACCUCCUCCUCCUCGAGCUUAUCACACCAUGACAAGUAUUGGAGCUCGUCAUCUUUUAAUUGGUGGUUUUGAUGGAAAAUCAACCUUCGGUGAUCUUUGGUGGUUGGUUCCUGAAGGUAUCUUUCUCUUAUUUAUACUGAUGUUUUAGUCCAACUUAGCUAUCAUUCUGUGUACACGCAUCAUCAGUUACUUAUAGUUGGAAACUCUUUAGACGAACUAAUCUUGGUGUUGGUCGCAGAUUGUAGGCAAUUUUAGAGACACUUAAUUUCUAGCAUAAUCUUUUUUUUCUUCUUUAUCAAGUUUGUAUUGAAAGUUUUGAAGUUUUACUGAACUGUUUAGCCUUCUGAAAAUGUUGUUAUUCGUUUUUUUCUUUUUCUCUUUUCUCAGAUGAUCCGAUAGCCAAGAGGUCUUCUGUACCUCAACUUAGAAACCCUCCUGAGACUAAAGAGUCAGAGAGAGAUUUGGAUACGGUAACUGUGGUUCCUGCUCAUCAUCUUAUGUGUUUCUCGCCAAUGCAGUUAAAUUAGCUUUUCAACUUGUUUUAACACCAAGAGUUUGGUCACAGCAGGAAAGAGGACAAGAGGGAUUCACUAUCGUCGACUUGCAAAAGAAAAUGGGAAUCUCUGUUUCUUCAGGGUUACGCCUUCAAAUACCCGAGGAGUUAGAAGAUCAAGAGUUCGUUGAGUUAGGAACCAGAUUGAUUGAGGGAGAUGCAGUUGAUAAUGGAGCCUCCAUGAUUCAGGUGAGUUUUUCCUCUUGUCUAUUUUAGAAUGUGUGAUUGUGUUAUUCUUGUACUGAAAAUGCUUCUCAAUGAAAAGAUGGCAGCUGAAGCACUUCGUCAACAUUGGAAAGAGUCCACUCCAGAGACUUUGCAAUUAAAGGAGCUUGGUUCCUUGCUUCGAGAUUAUCAGCGACUGGUUACCCGAAAAUACACGUGAGUUCUUAUCCAUGCCUAACUAUUUCAGACUCAGUUCUUGUUUAUGUAGAUUAUCUUUUGUUUCACUAAAAAUGGUUGUUCUUUGAUUGCGCUUGGAAUCACCACAUGGCAUUAGAAUAACUUAGAUAAAUCUCCUGAGAGUUUAGGAGUCAUAUAGAGUUAAUAUGAAUAUAUCAUUUUUGUGUCUUGAAUAGCCCUCGAGACUCUUUAAUCCGAGCAUAUUGUCAAAACUGAUAAUGUUGUGAAUGCAUUGUUUUGUGCCCCUACUAUUACAUGUUAUGAAAUCUCACAUCUGCGUCUUCCUUUCCUUGACACAUGUUUCUUUUCAUUUGUUGUGGCGGGUUUCUAUCAGAGCACAGAGCAGCUUAACAUCUGCUGAUUUUGGAAAGAAGACCUUUACGUUUUAUCAUAUCAAAAAUUCUUCCGAGGUAUUACUCUGCAUACUUUCCUCCCUCGCCUGAAUAUUUGACACCAAUCAAUCAAAACAUCAGGCUUUCCUCCUGACAUGUCAAGUUUACAUUUUGCUAUUCUCAGUUGCGGAUGGAUGACAUUCCGGAGUUGCUGGAAGAAUACAAAACCCUUGUAAUCUGAUUGAGGAGCUCUGCCAUGAAACUCACAAGGAGAAUACAAAACUCAUCAAGUAGCUGCCAAGAAGAUCACUGAUAUUACGUGUAUACGCACACCAAGUAACCUAAUGUGCACACUACCACAAUCGAAUGGUAUGUCGAUGUAUCACUUUAGGAUCGAAUCCACAGAGACCAACUAUUACACUUUAUCUUUAUGGGAUCAAUAUCAAGCUAAAACAAUAUGGGGGUUUUAAAGUUGAUUUCGUAACAAGCAAGUAAAAAGAUUAAUUAAAGAUUUCAGAUGAUUAAAAUGCUAGCCUAGGGUGGUUUGGUCGGGUGUUAAGCAAGUGUGAGCCAAACAAUUAUUCAAGUUCAAUUAAGAGCAAGUCUAGAACUCGGAUCACUCAAAUAGAACAAUCCACUGUCGUGGUACUGCCCCCUAUGCUGAUCGAUCUUGAUACCUAAACUCUCGUUUGGAUCAAGAUGCGACAGCAAGCAAUAGAGAUCAAGUCCGAUAUGUUCACAAAACACCCUAAUAUCUACUUUCGCUGAUUAGGGAUGCAAUGCUCAUUCAAGUUAUGUCUAGCAACCUAUAACACUUUUGAUGAAUAGAUUAAACCUAGAAUCAGGCACUAAGUGGUUAACUUGAUGCAAGCCUUAAGAACAACAGUGAAUGAAGACAAUCGAUUUAUAACUUAUUUAUGUCAAGCUCACGGAUCUAACACCCUAACACCCUAGACUAAGCAAGUUGACUACUCAGCCAUGAACAGAGAAAACAUAGAGAUCAAUUCUGAAUAAGACUUCAUGUAAAUAAAAGAGAUAGAAAGAGGGUUCAGGAUAAUCUUCUCUAUGGUGAGAGAGAUGGAGCCUUCUCCCUUUACAAUCCAAAAGCACAAAAGUCUCCAAUGGUUUUCUUCUGUCUAGAAUAGCGUAGAAUGAUAAAGAGAAACAGAAAAUAUGAUAUAUCAAAGCCACAGGCGGCUGGGAGAGAAAAUAGGGAUAAUUAGGGCAAAUCCCGUAAUGAUUGUAGUUUCCUUAAAAAUCUCUGCCGCUGGAACACUCAUUCGGAACAAUCACUCGGGUUGCUCCGCUAUCCGGAACAGUCAUCAAGACUGUUCUGCGUGAAAACCACCAAAUUGCACUGUUUGCUGCCUCUUUUGUUCCAGCUGGUCCAUCUCCCAUCCAAUGCAACUCCAGACCUGUAAUGACUCGAAAAGGACUAGAAAGACUCGAUAAAGACUUGAAAACCAAUUGAAAAGCAUAUAUACAAGAUGUAUAAAACACCAUAUAUCAAUUCCCCCAGACUUAGAUCCUUGUUUGUCCUCAAACAAUGUCAAGUAUCAAGAACAGGGAGAAAGGUUUGAAAGUGUGGGAACUCUCAUAUUCUCAGCAACCAUACUUUAACCACGAAUCUCUGAACCAUACAAGCAGUAAAACUAGGACAACACACCCUUACCGGAACCCCACUGACUGCUGUUCAAAAAUCGGCUCCAUACUCUUCAUCUCAAACCUGAAAAAGCAACACUAUCGAGACAGAACUCCCUACAUUCAUUUAAGAGUAGCGUGAGCUUCUCAUCACAGGCAUCAUUCAGGGUAGACGGUCUAGGUGUGGAACAGGCUAUUUAAUGGUGGAGUUAAGAGUGUUUAGGGGCUACCAUUUCAUUGAAGAGGAUGCAUGAUAUCACACAAAAUGGCAAGAGAGGAUAGAUCCAUUGAUGUCCACAGCCUCUACUCGUUUUUGCUCUAUCUGGUGCGACUGUUCUGAUGACGGAACAGGCAACUGAUUGUUCUGCUUUCCACUUUCCUCUACACACUCUUCAAUACUUGGUACCAACUUCUUGCUCGACCUUUCCAGUGGCUCUAUGUUUCUUUUCUUUCUUUCCCUUCUCCAUCACAUUGUUCUCGUUUUUUUUUUUUUUUUUGAAUACUGAUAUGGUGAUGUGACGAAGAAGGAGGUAAUACAUGAUCGUUCUGAGUGCCACUGGUGGUUCUGAUUUCGCGACCAUUCUGGUUCUCCACCCCUGCUCUUGCGCAGUUCAUUGGUUAUGGAGCGGUUGCUCCCUUAAUCUGCUUGUUCUCCUUUCUGACAAAAUUUCUGCAGCAGUAACGAGUAGGAGGCUGCGUUGAUCCUUUCCUCUCCGACCUUUUUGCACAUAUCUGCACAUAUGACACUGAAAAACAAAUGCAUGAAGGUAGAAUAAAGGCUAAGGUGCAGGGUGGGAACUAGCUAAAGAUGAGCUAGCCACUCAGGAUCAGCAAGAUGGAUAAAAAGGAUAAGAAGUCCUGAGUGUGUUCUCGUUUUCCUGAUCUAAUGCCCAUAACAAGAAGAAUUUUAGUCAAGAUUAGGUUCAAGUAAGGUGGAGUUAUGUCUACCCAGUGUAACCUGAUCGGCUGAGAACUUCUGGAGAAUCAAGUGAGAUAUGUCAGGGUGUUCAAGGUUCACAUGUGUGUCUUUCGCCACUGCUAAGGUCACUAAAUAAGAUAACUAAAGCACGAGGUGGUCAGUGAUCAACACAGAAUAAGGUCUUAAUUCCCACAAAGUUUUGACUGACUUAAUCAUAAAAACUGACUCAAACUGACUUAAAAGAAAAACAAAAGAAAGAAACAAGUUAGUAAACGACGAAAACCCUCCCCCAGACUUACUUCACAACGUCCCUGGUGUGAAAAUAAAUCAGAGAGAAGGACAAAACAAGAAUAAAUAUUUUUUUGUUUGGGUCGAGAUACUUACCUGAGUGGAGCAGGCGCUCCAUGAAAAUUCUGGGUGUUCUAUCGUCAGAUGAUCGCCUGGAACAACCGCUCUUUUCAGGGGAUAGGUUGUUCCGUUUCUGCAACCCAGAAUUUUUGAAGUAUCUCGAAUUUUUUUUGCUUUUUGACCUGAAACUUAAUAAACUAAAACGAAAAUUGAGUAAACAAAAACAAAACCAAGUUAUAUUUACACUUACCAGUGGGUUGCCUCCCACCAGCGCUUGGUUUAAGUCUCUAGCUUGACUUGGUGACUGGGAUCAGUCGGGUUGAGCAGGAGGGCCUGUUCCAAAACAAGCUCCACAAUCAGACAUGUUCAGCUUCAAAACCCUGCUCAACAACCCUUUCACAGCAGCUUCCCCUUUCUCUUUCAGCUCAUGUGUGAGAAUAGCUCUGCUUUAGAGAACGGUUUAGAGGUACCCUUGCACUUUACCUCAUACUCAAUGGAGUUCUCAUCACACUUGAGAGGUAUCAAAGUCACUGUAGGAUCUCCUUGACCCUUUUCUUCUGGACUUUCUGUUUCACCCUUGAAUUCCCUCUGAAUUUAGUAGGAUCAGUGCUAGGAUCUUCAUCAAAGAACAGUCUGCUCUCACCCUUAUCACCAUGCUCCUUCUCUGGAACAACCUUCAGCUUUUCUACAUCAAACACUGAGAUGCGAGAGGCGUGUGAUGAGGAAGAUCUGGUGGGUACAGCCUUGUAGAAUACUUUCUUGUUGAUGUUGGAGAAGCAGACUCUCUUGUUGGGCAUAUCGAUGGUUGCUCCAACAGUAGCCAUGAAUGUCCUUCCAAAUAUCAAAGGCAUCUCAUGAUCUUUGUUCAUCUCAACAACCUGAAACUCAGCAGGAACAAUGCAUUCCCCUACUUGAACAUGAAGGCUGCGGAUGGUUCCAUAUGGGACUGCUCUGGAAGAGUUUGCAAAGGUCAGGGUCAACUGAGAACGCUCAACAUCAGCAAUACCCAAAUCGUCUACAAUAGCCUUUGAGAUGAGAUUCACACAAGAACCAGAGUCACAAAGAGCGUCCUUGAAGGUUGUUCCUGCGAUGGAACAUGGGAAAACAAACUUUCCAGGAUCAUGAACCUUAGGCAAUACCUUCAGUGCUGGCGUAGACAGUGCUCUGGUAUAGAGGACCUUGAUCUCCUCUUGAGUCUCUCUACAGUGUUUAAAGAACUGGAGCAAUGGACGAAUCUGCAGAGCAUCUUCGAAUGCAAGUUCUUUAGGAAGCCUUCUCACCAUCUUGUUAAAACCUAUCAGCUGCUCUUCACUAAUGGGAUCCAUCAGAUGUCUAGGUGGAAUUGGAUAGGGAACCUUGGGAACAUAGACUCGCACUGGUGGAGUUUCAGCAGGUUCGCUAGGAGCAAUCACUCCAGAGCUAGCAGACUGCUCUGUGUUCUCUUCUGCGCCUAGAACAGUCUCAGCGAACGGCUGCUCUAUUGCAUUACAGUGCUCAGUCCUAGGAUUUUUAUCAGUUCUUCCAGGGAGCGUCUCUUGUUGCCUCUUGACACUCUCAACUGUUUGAGCAAGCUGAACAUCGAUCUUUCUUAUAUGGAUUGCAAGAUUGUCAUACUUGUUAUUCAGUUCAGUGAACAUGUUGCCCAUCCUGGUGUCUAUUUCCGUGGUUACCUGAUUCAACACCUUGGCCUGAACCUGCUGACCCUGCAACAGUUGUUGCAUCAUCAUACCCAGACCCUUCAGCUCAUCUGGUUGACUGUUCUCGGUAGCUGGAACAACAUGCGGAUUGCUCUGCGGUUGUCGUUGGUUCAGGUUCUGAAUAUGCCCGGCCGUAGGUUGCUCCAUGCUGAAAACGUGUCCUUGGUUGUUUUUCAGUAACUGAUCAACCUUGGCAGUCAGCUCAUCUAUUUUCUGGGCGUCAGAACUGUUCCCUUUCAUGGAGCGAUCACUCUCCUCUUUCUUAUUAGCUGAGCUAGCAGCCAUGUUCUCAAUCAGCUUAAACGCUCCAGCAGUGGUUUGAGUCAUGAAGUCUCCAUUGCUCGCAGAGUUUAGAGCACCUUGGUAUUUCCAGUCCACUCCAUCAUAGAAAAUAUCCAGGAUAUAAUCAUCAUCAAAUCCAUGGUGAGGACAUUCUCUGCGAUAGUCAUUGAAGCGCUCCCAUGCGUCGCAGAAAAGCUCAUCAGUGAGCUGUCUGAAGGAGGUGAUCUUGUUCCUCAAUGCAGCUGUUCUCGCCUUAGAGUAGAAAUGGCUGAGGAACGCUGAUCGGACCUGUUCCCAUGAAGUGAGAGAGCCGGUAGGGAGAGAGUUCAACCACCGUGCAGCUUUUCCAUCAAGAGAGAAUGGGAAUAACAUGCACGUGAUGUAGUCUGGUGGAACACCAUUCACGCGAGUGAAACUGCAGACUUUUUCGAAGCUCUCAAUAUGCUCCAUUGGAAUUUCUGUAGAGAGACCAGAGAACACCUUUCUCUGUACUAGACCGAUCAAAGCAGGCUUGAUCUCAAAGUCCUGCCUAGUACAAGGUGGAGGAACAAUGGCAGAGCGCGUAGUAGGGAUGUUACGCGGGAGGUUUCUCUGCCCGAUUGGAACAGUCUGCGCCUGUUGUUCCUGCUGCGCGAGAGCAGCCUGUUCAGCAGCAUCCUGCUGAGCUUGGAUGGUCUGCUGCAUUUGUUGCAUCUGCUGCUGCAUGAGUGCCAUAGCCGCAGCGAGAUCAUCUUGAUUGGCGUGAUCACCCAUAGUGGUGUCGGUUUGCCUUGGCUGUUGACGAUUUGUUCUUUCUAACCUUGCUAGCUCCUGGUUGGUAAAUGUAACUAACUCUCCUUGUGCGUUUCUUCGAGUAUGUCUACUGGUCAUGCACCUGGAACAUUAGCUGCAACAAAAAGGAUAAGGCAAGUUAGAGGUCUUAGACUAAAUAAAUAACCGAAAAAUAAAGGUAAAAAGAUGGUCCCCGGCAACGGCGCCAAAUUGAUAUUACGUGUAUACGCACACCAAGUAACCUAAUGUGCACACUACCACAAUCGAAUGGUAUGUCGAUGUAUCACUUUAGGAUCGAAUCCACAGAGACCAACUAUUACACUUUAUCUUUAUGGGAUCAAUAUCAAGCUAAAACAAUAUGGGGGUUUUAAAGUUGAUUUCGUAACAAGCAAGUAAAAAGAUUAAUUAAAGAUUUCAGAUGAUUAAAAUGCUAGCCUAGGGUGGUUUGGUCGGGUGUUAAGCAAGUGUGAGCCAAACAAUUAUUCAAGUUCAAUUAAGAGCAAGUCUAGAACUCGGAUCACUCAAAUAGAACAAUCCACUGUCGUGGUACUGCCCCCUAUGCUAAUCGAUCUUGAUACCUAAACUCUCGUUUGGAUCAAGAUGCGACAGCAAGCAAUAGAGAUCAAGUCCGAUAUGUUCACAAAACACCCUAAUAUCUACUUUCGCUGAUUAGGGAUGCAAUGCUCAUUCAAGUUAUGUCUAGCAACCUAUAACACUUUUGAUGAAUAGAUUAAACCUAGAAUCAGGCACUAAGUGGUUAACUUGAUGCAAGCCUUAAGAACAACAGUGAAUGAAGACAAUCGAUUUAUAACUUAUUUAUGUCAAGCUCACGGAUCUAACACCCUAACACCCUAGACUAAGCAAGUUGACUACUCAGCCAUGAACAGAGAAAACACAAAGAUCAAUUCUGAAUAAGACUUCAUGUAAAUAAAAGAGAUAGAAAGAGGGUUCAGGAUAAUCUUCUCUAUGGUGAGAGAGAUGGAGCCUUCUCCCUUUACAAUCCAAAAGCACAAAAGUCUCCAAUGGUUUUCUUCUGUCUAGAAUAGCGUAGAAUGAUAAAGAGAAACAGAAAAUAUGAUAUAUCAAAGCCACAGGCGGCUGGGAGAGAAAAUAGGGAUAAUUAGGGCAAAUCCCGUAAUGAUUGUAGUUUCCUUAAAAAUCUCUGCCGCUGGAACACUCAUUCGGAACAAUCACUCGGGUUGCUCCGCUAUCCGGAACAGUCAUCAAGACUGUUCUGCGUGAAAACCACCAAAUUGCACUGUUUGCUGCCUCUUUUGUUCCAGCUGGUCCAUCUCCCAUCCAAUGCAACUCCAGACCUGUAAUGACUCGAAAAGGACUAGAAAGACUCGAUAAAGACUUGAAAACCAAUUGAAAAGCACAUAUACAAGAUGUAUAAAACACCAUAUAUCAAUCACCAAGAUUGCUAUCAGCAUUACCAUUGCAAACCACAAAGCUAAAAAGUCUCAAGAGAAUCACAUCUCUGAUAGACAACUAUGUGCAACUUCUUUUUAGCAAGAACAAAAAGAUACAACGUAUAUGUAAGACUUCCAUUAUCUCAACUUAAAUCCAUAUCUAAGCCUCUGCUCUUUUAUUUCUUGUUUGGGCUUUGAAAAUAGAUUGCUUUGCCUUGAAGCCAAUGCGAAAGUAAGGAAAAAAGUAGGCAAACUUCAUCUAUUAGACUUUGAAAUGGAUUACAACAACAACGGUACUCUUGAUAACUUAAACCACAGAGUUUCUGUCUGCAUAGACCCGUAUUGUCUUUUCUCUAUCCCCUAAAACAACUCGAACUCAAGAUGAUCUCCCAUGGCUUUACAUUCAAGAUAUCCAUUACCAUUUCCUUUAGGAGAAGUUGCUUCCGUUGCACCAUUCUCAUAUACAUCAGGCAGAUCAGGCGGAAUGGCGCAGCGGAUGAGAGCCCAGUUCAAUCCUUCAAAGAAUGGAUGCCUCUUGAUCUCUGCAGCUCCUUUCUCCCACCCGAGGCGGCUCCCCGGAUCCUUCAUCACCAACCUUCUGAUCAAAUUCUUUGCCUGGAAGCUCACAAGAGGGCUAUCAGGAAACUUGAGGUUCUGAAACACAAACGUCUCCUCAUUGUCAUAACCUUUGAACGGUGUCUUCCCGUAUAAAAGCUCAUAGAGAAGAACCCCAAACGUCCACCAGUCUACUGCAGCACCGUGACCUUCUCCUUAAUGAUCUCCGGCGCCAAGUACUCGUGCGUUCCUACAAAAGAGUUUGAUCUUGCUUCAGUUGGUUCAGCCACAAGCUGAGGCAAUGAUCUGAACUGUUGGGUCAGAAGAUCAGGCCUUCUCUGUUUUCUUGGUUUUGAGUUUCUAGCUUGCGUUGACAAGAGCCUAGGGCUGAAACAUGGGACACGGCACGAUGGACUCUAUCUAAAUCACAGGUUCUUCAUCUUCUUUGGAAGCUGAGGAGCUUGAUACAAUAAUUGAAGACGAAGACAAACAGCAGUAUCCAGGCGAUGUGCACCGCAGCUACAGCUGGUAAGAAGUCAUGUUCGAACCCGGAUCCAUCUUUGAGCAACUGUUUUAGUUCCGUGUCUAGGAGACCAGUGUUCUGCACUAUCGAAUCUUGGUCUCCUACUUGAGAUGUGAUGCUUCCAUACAAUGUCCAGCCACUGGCGUUGCCUAGUAAUUAAUAUCAUCUCCACCAUAUCAAUAUUUGCUGCAUCCCCUCCUCCAUAAGAAACAUAAAACAUAAAAGUUAGGUAGCUCUAAAACACUUCUGAUCAUAACAAAAAGUAAGAUCUAUAACACACUUGAUGAUUACGUAAGUUGGUUCGUAAUUUUUACCAAUCUUUGGGAUGAGGAACUGGAGAAAAGAUUCCAAAUAGACCGAGGAAGAAAGACAUGCAGAUUCCGGAGAUUUGAUAGUUUGGUGUCAAGGCCACAAAGCAUCAAGCUUGGUAACAUGUCGUAGUAGUAGAAGUAGAACCAGAAGAACUUGACCACAGUACGGUCGUAUCCUAUCAUUGAGUAAAGGAUUAUAGUAUGUAAACUCUAGUUUGUAUGGUGUCAUACUACAUGAUCUAACAACUUUGUCUAUAUUAUCAAUUUUCCUAAUUAAUUAUUUCUAACAAAAAUAUAAUUUUUAAAUAUUAACGAAUAUAUUUUGGAAGUUGAAAAUAAGGUAGAAAUUUUGUACAAAAGGGAAGGAAGGAUAUGGGGGAAUUAUUUGCCUGCGAAAAGUCAUUAUCCCUUACAGACUAGAAAAGUCGCAUAUUUUCUUUUUAUUCAAAAUCAGAACCACAGAUGGCAGCCAAUAUAGACUGUUGAUAAGAUUGACUUGGAGUCAACUCUUUCAUUGCCAUUCAUAUCUCUUCUUCCAAAGAACGUCUCUAAGCAAGUUGAAGAGCUGUUACAUGAAAGGUAAAUCAUGUUCUUGUAUCAUUAUUUGUCUGUUUAACUUGCUUUGAUCUGUCUUUUGGACUCUGUUGUGGUUGAAUCUGAAUUUAAAAACGAAAAUUCGUUGGAUUAUUACAAAUCUUGUUUUACGAAUUUAAACCAUUUAAUCAUCAAAUCUUGUUAUAAAUUGUUUGAAUAAAAGUAAGUUAAGUAAAGUUCCUCUGACAUGUAUCAUGUUUUAUUAGAUCAACCAAGGAUUAUCAUAAACGGUUUUAAAUCGUACUACAAGUUUGUACUUAUGUGUUGUGUUGAUGGUGGAACAGGAGAAUAGUGAUGGCUGAGGGAGUUGUGUCGUUUGGAGUGGAGAAACUCUGGGAUCUCCUCAGUCGAGAAUCAGAGAGACUGCAGGGAGUUCAUGAGAAAGUUGAUGAUCUAAAAUGUCAGAUGAGAAUGUUACAGUCGUUGUUGAAAGAUGCAGAUGCCAAGAAAUAUGAGAGUGUGGUGAGAAACUUCUUGGAAGAUGUCAAAGACACUGUUUUUGAUGCUGAAGACAUAAUUGAAUCCUUUCUUUUGAAAGAAUUGAGUAGAAACCAAAAAGGGAUCAAGGGGCGUGUGAAAAGACUUGCUUGUUUCUUAGUGGAUCGCCGAGGUCUUUCUAUGGACAUUGAAGGCAUAACUAAGAGAAUGGCCAAGGUUGUUGGGCAAAUGCAAAGCUUUGGAAUACAACAGAUCAUCUACAGAUCACCGUCUCUACAAGAGAGACAGAGGGAGAUCCAACAAACAUAUCCUAUGGGAUCUCAAAAGGAUCUUGUGGGGGUGGAACAGAGUGUUAAAGAAUUGGUUGGUCAUUUGGUGGAGAAUGAUAACAUCCAAGUAGUUUCCAUAUCUGGGAUGGGUGGUAUUGGAAAAACCACUCUUGCCAGACAAGUCUUACAUCAUGACAUUGUUCAAAGUCAUUUUGAUGGAUUCGCAUGGAUCUGCGUUUCGCAAGAUUGUAAGCGGAUGGAUAUUUGGCAAAAGUUAUUGCAAGACCUUAGACCUCAAGAUAAGGGCAUCGAACAAAUGAAUGAGCCUACACUCCAGGCUAAGAUCUUUCACUUGUUGGAAACAUCUAAAUAUUUAAUUGUCAUGGAUGAUGUAUGGAAAAAAGAAGACUGGGAUAUAAUAAAAGGCGUUUUCCCCCAAGAAAGAGGUGAGCUCUCUAAUUGUACAUACAUUACUUACGAACUCUCCAUAGCUAUUUCAUAAAUGCCUUUUCAGUCUCUGAGAUGAAAGGAAAUACAAUUGCAGGUUGGAAAAUGAUUCUUACUUCACGUGAUGAAAGUGUUGGUUUCCAUGCAGACCGAACAUGUUUUCCCUUUAGACCAAAAACUCUUACUCCUGAAGAAAGUUGGAAGCUAUGUGAAAGCAUAGCAUUCCCUAGACGAGAUAUAACCGGUACGUUUUUAUAUAAGAAUCAUAUGAAUCCUUAAGGCCAGAAAGCUUGAUAUCUCUUACGGACCUUCUAAUCAAAAUUCUUGUGUUGUAAUUCCUAAAUCAUCCUCUGGGAUUACAUAUAUGGUUCCAAUGUUUAAAAAAUCGAUUUAUUCUAACAUUAUCUCUUAAUUUAAUUUAUUUAGAUUAAUUUAUAAUGAUUUAAACCGAUUUGAAUUGUAUAAAUUGGUAUAAAUCAGAUUUUAAGAAAAUCGUUUCGAUGGGACAAAGUUAGCCUAUGUGCCGCCUAGACCAAUUUUUAGAACAUUGUAUGGUUGUAUAUACCUUUGAGAAACAUUAUAGCAUUUCAUUUAUGUCAUAUGUCAUCAGCAAUGUUUUAAAAACCGGAUCAGACAUUGAUUCGGCAUUGUAGCUGCGUAAAUGGUCAGAUCGGUGCAAUUAGUUCAACUGACUUCUAAAUUUAAUUUAAUUUUAAAUUCAGUAACUACAUCUAUGUAUAAUAAAAUUGUUCUUAUAAAACUUUAUUUCAUUGUUAAUAUCUAAAAGAUCUUAUGAAAAUAAAAUGACAACUUCAAAAAUAAUAUAAACUAUAAUGAAACUAAUUGAUUUAGAUAGAUAUUAAAAACAAUAUGAAAUCUUUUUAAAAUUUGCAAAUUUUUAUUUUUAAACUUGAAUUUGAGAAAACUUGAUUUUAAUAUCGAACCAGAUUACCGGUUUUAGCAAAUUUGAACAGUUUAUGACAUGGUUUACCGGUUUAAUUCAAAUUCAGUUUUAAUACAACUCAAAACCGGCUAGAAUAACGAGUCAAGGUCCAACCGGGCAAUCCGGUUUUCAAAACACUAGUCAUCACCAUAAUGAUUCUUUUUUUUUAGAGAAAUAUGUUAGCCAUCUAAACAUAUAAUAUAAUACUCAUUAAACUAAAUAUUAAAUUAAUUAUUAAUGUACAAAACAUAUUAUUCCUUCUUUGCUUAAGUAUAAGCUACAAAAUUACAUAAUGUGAUAAAUAUAUAUAAGGAGUUUUCUUGCGCCAUGCGCAAAUAUACUAAUUUUUAGCUAAAUUUUUAUUUAUUUUAUUUUAAAUAAAAAUAAAUUUACGUUUUCAUACUAUUAUUUUUAUAUUUUAAAUUCAUCGGUCUGGAAAAGAGUGAAAUCACAACUAUUUUUUUGUAAUUUUGUUUCAUUUGAUUUGUUUUAUUUAUUUUAAUUUUAUUUUAUAUGAAUUUUAUUGGAGAAGAAUUAUAUUUUAUAUAACUUUGAAUUUUAUUUAUUUAUAUUUAGUGAUUAUUUAUUUUGAAUAUGUUUCUUAUCCUCUAAGUGUAUAAAUUUUAAUAAUGAUUGGGUUUCUGUUUAAAUGUAUAGCUAAUAUGUUAAACUCGUAAACUCAAUUUCUUAAUUAAUCAAAUAAACUAAUGGAUGCUAAUAAAAUUUUAAACAUUUAAUCAUCCAAAAAAAUUGAUUAGCAUUGCUUUAGUUUUGUGUUCCCUAAUGCACACUUACACUUUAUUUUAAUAAAAUAUAAAAUAUAUAUAGAAAAUAUGAUAAAUAAGUUAAUUUAAAAUUAAAAUAUAAUUAUAUUUAGUUUAUUUUUAUAAAUAUGAUAUAUAUAAUUUUAUUUUAUUUCAAUGGUGAUAUAUGAAUUAUUAGUUAUUAAUAUAUUUUAAAAGUCUUGCCAAAAUAAACAUUUACACAGAAAUGCUAACUUCUAAAUAGUGAUAUAAACAUUAUUAGUCAUUACCAUUUUUAUAAAUUCUUACUAGAAAUAUAUAAAUUUGUAAAAGUUAUUAUUAUUACCAUAUUUAAAAGUCUUUAACAAAAAUAUAAAUUUUUAUAAGAAAAUUUUCAUGUCAAAUUAACUUGAUCUCAUGUCAUUAUUUUCUAAAAACAUGUCAUUUUUUUGGGUGAGAAUGAACACUGUGAUGACAUGUGUACAAAACCACUUUGCAAUUAAUAUUUAGGAGAUACUACAAUCAAUGACUUUGAAUAAUAAUGAUUUGAUAACAAUUUGUGUAUCAUCUAUCAUCUUUAUUUAAUUUUAUAUUAUUAAAAUAAAUUAAUUAAUCAUAUUAAUCAUCUAAUAAAAAUAGAUUUUCCUUAUAUUUUGAAUUUUAAAGAUGACUAUAAAUUACUAAAAUUGUUAAAAUUAAUGGUUUAAUUUUAUUAUUAUAAUAAGAUACAAAUGAUCAUAAGAACUUAUGAAUAUGAAAUUUCAUUUAAUAGAACUGUAGAUUAAAAAAAAAAUAUAUAUAUAUAUAUAUAUCUAUUUCAAUAUCGUUUAAAUUUAGCUGUAUAUAUAUAUAUAUUUUUUUUUCUGAACAUUUGAAAAGACUAGAGACAUUAUUUCAAGGCUCUAAUGUUAUAAUAUGUGUUACUGUUUUCAGAAUUUAUUGUUGAUGAAGAACUAGAAGCCAUGGGUAAGAAAAUGGUCACACAUUGUGGAGGACUACCAUUAGCCGUUAAAGUGUUGGGAGGCUUGUUAGCUAAUAAAAGCAUGGUUGAAGAGUGGAAAAGAGUAGAUGACAAUAUUCAAAGUCAGAUAGUUCGCAUAGAUGACAACAGUCAAGAUUCGGUUUACCGAGUAUUGUCUAUGAGCUAUGAAGACUUGCCAAUGCAGUUAAAGCAUUGCUUCCUCUACCUAGCUCAUUUUCCUGAAGAUGACAAGAUACAAAUGGACAUAUUAUAUUAUCUAUGGGCAGCAGAAGGCAUAAUAAAGUCAAGUGGCGAUGGAGAAACCACUUGGGAAAUUGGAGAAGACUACAUAGACGAGCUAGUACGGAGAAAUAUGAUUAUUGGAGUAAAAGAGGAAUUGAGUUGCAGAUGGGCGUAUUGUCAAAUGCAUGACACGAUGAGAGAAGUAUGUUUAUAUAAAGCCAAAGAAGAGAACUUUCUUCAGAUUAUCAAAGUCCCUACUUCUUCUAUGUCUACCAUCAAUGCUCUUACUCCUACCAGAUCUCGCAGACUCGUAGUACACGGUGGUGGUAAUUCACUUGAUAUGCUGGGAGGUAAAAACAAUCAAAAAGCUAGAUCUGUUUUGGGUUUUGGACUCGACAGCAAAUCGUCGAAGCAGUCAGGUCAAGGACUCAGAAAUUUACAAUUACUUAGGGUCUUGGAUUUGAGUUUAGAUUAUAAAAGCGGCGACUCUAGAGGGUGGAGAAUACCAUCCAGCUUUGGAAAGCUCAUUCAUUUGAGAUAUUUGAGCUUACACAUGCGUUGGGCAACUGAUGUACCUUCUUCUUUACGGAAAUGAAAUACUUCAUCUGCCAAGUAUCUUUAAAGAGAUGGUAGAGUUGAGGUUCCUGCAGCUUUAAAGAGAUGGUAGAGUUGAGGUUCCUGCAGCUUCCCCUUCUUCUUGACGCUAAAACAAAGUUGGAAUUGGGCAAUCUAGUGAACCUGGAGUGCUUGGGCUGGUUCCAAUCAGAAAACGGUAGCAUCACAGACUUCCUCCGAAUGAAAAAGCUCAGGACUCUCCACAUAAAACUCAAAGGCAGGUAUACUUCUGAAACUCUAGCGUCAUCUCUCUGUGAAUUAAGAAACCUGGAGGAGCUUAGAUUGAUCGAUGAGAACAACGAAUCCGAUGGGGCUUAUGAUUUGGAUUUCGUUUGGAAUUUCAUUCAUCUAAGGGAAUUAUGGAUGGGUAUACAUAUGACAAGGCUCCCUGAUCACUCUCGAUUGCCUCCCAACCUUGCACACAUAUGUCUAAUUAAAUGUGAAUUGGAGGAUGAUCCACUGCAGAUUCUGGAAAAGUUGCUUCAUUUGAAGUCGGCUGUAUUACAUUACAGAUCUUUCGUGGGGAGGAAGAUGGUGUGUUCAAAAGGUGGAUUCCCUCAAUUAUGUAAGCUAGACAUAAUGUUCCUACACGACUUGGAAGAGUGGAUAGUCGAAGAAGGGUCGAUGCCAUGUCUUCGUACCUUGUCUAUUCAAAGUUGCUACCGGAAGGGCUCAAGUAUAUCACUUCUUUAAAGAAACUGGAAAUCAUACAUAAGAACAAGGAGUGGAAGACGACACUCGUACCAGGUGGGGAAAGUUACCACAAAGUCCAACACAUUCCUAGUGUUCAAUUAAACUAUUUUGGCCACGAAUAAGGAGAAUAAAACUGUCUCAGGUAUAUAUUCUUUUUUGGUAUAAUGUCAAUAUUGUUCAUUUUGUUGGUUAUAUAUCCUCCUUGAAGUUUAGUGUGAAAGUCUAAACUCUCUGUUAUUCGGUUUUCAGGUGAACCUACUCAGGAUCAGUACCCACCACUAUCGAUUGUGUGAUAUGAUAAUAAGUCGUUUUUGUUGUAUGAAGUUUACAUAUCUUGUUUGUGAUAUAUUCCGUAUAUCUAUUUGCAUGCUCAUUCACUCGUCUCAUAAGAUUCUUCUCCUCUGCUAAAGGAUCACUCUAAAUCCAAAAAUCCACUUCAUUAAUUUACAAUAGUACAAUACUAGUGAGAUGAUAAAAUUGUGAUGUAAAUUAUCCUUUUUCUUGCUGAGCAUUGUCUUCUAUGCGUUGUUGCUAAAUUUUUAUUUUUCACAUACUAGUAACUGCGCAGUGGAAGCGCUUACCGAUAAGCAAUGAUGAGCCUCCUCCUCCUCGAGCUUACCAUACAAUGACUAGUAUUGGAGCUCGUCAUCUUUUAAUUGGUGGUUUUGAUGGAAAGUCAACCUUCGGUGAUCUUUGGUGGCUGGUUCCUGAAGGUAUUAAACUCUUAUUUGUACUAAUGUUUUACUCCAACUUAGCUAUCAUUCUGUGUACAUGCAUCAUCAGUUACAAUCUCGGUGCUGGUCACAGAUUAUAGGCAAUUAGAGACACUUAAUUUCUAGCAUACUCUUUUUUUUCUUCUUUAUCAAGUUUGUAUUGAAAGUUUUGAAGUUUUACACAUCUGAUUGAAUUUACUGAACUGUUUUAGCCUUCUGAAAAUGUUGUUAUUCGUUGUGAAAGAAAGAAAUGGAUUAAAGAAAGAAAUGUUGUUAGCGAUCUAACUCUUUUUCUCUUUUCUCAGAUGAUUCCAUAGCCAAGAGGUCUUCUGUACCUCAAAUUAGAAACCCUCCUGAGACUAAAGAGUCAGAGAGAGAUUUGGAUACGGUAACUGUGGUUCCUGCUCAUCAUCUUAUGUGUUUCUCGCCAAUGCAGUUAAAUUAGCUUUUCAACGUGUUUUAACACCAAGAGUUUGGUCACAGCAGGAAAGAGGACAAGAGGGAUUCACUAUCGUCGACUUGCAAAAGAAAAUGGGAAUCUCUGUUGCAUCAGGGUUACUACGCCGUCAUAUCCCCGAGGAGUCAGAAGAUCAAGAGUUCGUUGAGUUAGGAACCAGAUUGAUCGAGGGAGAUGCAGUUGAUAAUCGAGCCUCCAUGAUUCAGGUGAGUUUUUCCUCUUGUCUAUUUUAGAAUGUGUGAUUGUGUUAUUCUUGUACUGAAAAUGCGUCCCAAUGAAAGGAUGGCAGCUGAAGCACUUCGUCAACAUUGGAAAGAGUCCACUCCAGAGACUUUGCAGUUAAAAGAGCUUAAUGCCUUGCUUCGAGAUUAUCAGCGACUUGUUACCCGAAAAUACACGUGAGUUCUUACUCAUUCCAACUAUUUCAGACUCAGUUCUUGUUUAUGUAGAUUAUCUUUUAUUUCACUAAAAAUAGUUGUUCUUUGAUUGCGCUUGGAAUGGCAUUAGAAUAACUUAGAUAAAUCUCCUGAGAGUUUAGGAGUGUUAUAUAGAGUUAAUAUGAAUAUCAUUUUUUGUGUCUUGAAUAGCCCUUGAAACUUUUUAAUCCAAGAAUUGCCAAAACUGAUUCAUUUCUUAAUGUUGUGAAGUCCUCACAUAAAAGUUGAUUGUAAAUGCAUCGCUUUGUACCCCUCUGAAAAGUAUUAAAUGUCAUGAAAUCUCACAUCUGCUUCUCCCUUUCCUUCACACGUUUGUUUUCAUUUGUUGUGGCGGGUUUCCAUCAGAGCACAGAGCAGCUUAACACCUGCAGAUUUUGGAAAGAAGACCUUUACGUUUUAUCAUAUCAAAACUUCUUCCGAGGUACUUCUGCAUACUUUCUUCCUGUUAUUAGCUUUAUUGAACAUUUGACACCAAUCAAUCAUACAUCAGGCUUUCCUCUGACAUGUCAAGUUUUCAUUUUGCUAUUCUCAGUUACGGAUGGAUGACAUCCCCAAGUUGCUGGAAGAAUACAAAACCCUUCUAAUCUGAUUGAGGAGCUCUACCAUAAAACUCACAAGGAGAUAUACUAAAACCCUUCUAAACUCAUCAAGUAGCUGCCAAGAAGAUCACCAAGAUUGCUAUCAGCAUUACCAUUCGCAAACAACAAAGCUAAAAAUUCUCAAAAGAAUCAUCUCUGAUAGACAACAAGACAUGUACAACUUCUUCUUAGUCAAGGACAAAAACAUAUACCCAUAUGUAAGAUUUUCAUUAUUUCUACUUAAAUCCAUAUCUCAGCGUCUGCUCUUUGCUUUAAAGCCAAUGGGAAAGUAAGGAAAAAAGUAGGCAAACUUCACCUCUUAUACUUAGAAAUGGAUUACUACAACAACAACGGUACUCUUGAUAACUUAAACCAUAGAGUUUCUGUCUGCUUAGACCCGUAUUGUCUUUUUUCUCUAUCCCCUAAAACAACUCAAACUCAAGAUGAUCUCCCAUGGCUUUACAUUCAAGAUACCCAUUACUAUUCCCUUUAGGAGAGGUUGCUUCAGUUGCACCAUUGUCAUAUACAUCAGGCAGCUCAGGGGGAAUGGCGCAGCGGAUGAGAGCCCAGUUCAAUCCUUCAAAGAAAGGAUGCCUCUUGAUCUCAGCAGCUCCUUUCUCCCACCCGAGACGGCUCUCCGGAUCCUUCAUCACCAACCUCCUGAUCAAAUCCUUUGCCUGGAAGCUCACAAGAGGGCUAUCAGGAAACUUAAGGUUCUGAAACACAACGUUGGACAAUGUCUCCUCAUUGUCAUAACCUUUAAACGGUGUCUUCCCGUAUAAAAGCUCAUAGAGAAGGACCCCAAAAGUCCACCAGUCUACCGCAGCACCAUGCCCUUCUCCUUUUAUUAUCUCCGGCGCCAAGUACUCGUGCGUUCCUACAAAAGAGUUUGAUCCUGCUUCGGUUGGUUUAGCCACAAGCUGAGGCAAUGAUCUGAACUGUUGGGUCAGAAGAUCAGGCCUUCUCUGUUUUCUUGGUUUCGAGUUUCUAGCGCAUUGAUGGGAGCCUAGGGCUGAAACAUGGGAAGCAGGUUCUUCACAGGUUCUUCACCUUCUUUGGAAGUUGAGGAGCUUGAUACAAUAAGCGAAGACGAAGACAAACAGCAGUAUCCACGCGCAGCUACAGCUGGUAAGAAGUCAUGUUCGAACCCGGAUCCAUCUUUGAGCAACUUUUUUAGACCCGUGUCUAGGAGACCAGUGUUCUGCACUAUCGAAUCUUGGUCUCCUACUUGAGAUUUGAUGCUUCCAAACAAUGUCCAGCCCACUGGUCGUUGCCUAGUAAUAUCAUCUCCACCAUAUCACCAACAAUAAACAUUUUCGAAACUACCCUCCCUCUCCCCUCUCCCAAUAAAAAAAACACAAAACUUAAAAAUUAGGUAGCUCUAAAACCCUUCUGAUCAUAACAAAAAGUAAGAUCUAAACACACUUGAUGAUUACGUAAGUUGGUUCGUAAUUUUUUACCAAUCUUUGGUAUAAGGAACUGGAGAAAAGAUUCCAAAUAGACUGAGGAAGAAAGACAUGCAGAUUCCGGAGAUUUGAUAGUUUGGUGUCAAGGCCACAAAGCAUCAAGCUUUGUUAACAUGUAGUAGUAGUAGUACCAGAAGAACUUGACCACAGUACGGCCGUAUCCUAUCAUUGAGUAAAGGAUUAUAGUAUGUAAACUCUAGUUUGUAUGGUGUCAUACUAAUAACUUUGUCUAUAUUACCAAUUUUCCCAAUUUCUUAUUUCUAACAAACUAUAAUGUAUAAAUAUCAAUGAAUAUAUUUUGCAAGUUGAAAAUAAGGGAGAAAUUUUUUUUACCAAAAAGAAUAAUAAGGGAGAACUACAGUGAAUGUUUCGAGUGGGCCUAAAGCAAAUGCAUUAUUGCCUUGCGAAAAAAUCAUUAUCGCCACAGACUAGAAAAAACUCCUAUUUUCUUUUUAUUCAAAAUUAGAACCACAAGAUGGCAGUCGUAGACUGAUAAGAUUGACUUGGAGUCUACUCUUUCAUUGCCACUCAUAUCUUUUCUUCCAAAGAACGUCUCUAAGCAAGUUGAAGAGCUGUUACAUGAAAGGUAAAUCAUGUUCUUGUAUCAUUAUUUGUAUGUUUAACUUGCUUUGAUCUGUCUUUUGGACUCUGUUGUGGUUGAAUCUGAAUUUAAAAACGAAAAUUCGUUAGAUUAUUACAAAUCUUGUUUUACGAAUUUAAAGCAUUUAAUCAUCAAAUCUUGUUAUAAAUUGUUUGAAUAAAAGUAAAGUUCCUCUAACAGGUAUCAUGUUUUAUUAGAUCAACCAAGGAUUAUCAUAACGGUUUUAAAUCUUACUACAAGUUUGUACUUAUGUGUUGAUGAUGGUGGAACAGGAGAAUAGUGAUGGCUGAGGGCGUUGUGUCGUUUGGAGUGGAGAAACUCUGGGAUCUCCUGAGUCGAGAAUCUGAGCGAUUGCAGGGAGUUCAUGAGAAAGUUGAUGAUCUAAAAUGUCAGAUGAGAAUGUUACAGUCGUUGUUGAAAGAUGCAGAUGCGAGGAAACAUGAGAAUGAAGUAGUGAGAAACUUCUUGGAAGAUGUCAAAGACAUUGUUUUUGAUGCUGAAGACAUAAUCGAAUCCUUUCUUUUGAAAGAAUUGAGUGGAAACCAAAAAGGGAUCAAGAGGCGUGUGAAAAGACUUGCUUGUUUCUUAG